rnacentral:lncRNA from 1 species
UCCAGAUCUAGAAGAGGGAAACCACAGGAGAGAAGAAGAAUCAAGCCAGGCGAGCAUAGGAGAGGGAAGCCAUGGAUGUGCGCGAGGGGACGCGGAGGAUGAGGGGUGCUUCCAUCCCUGCUCCGCUCGAGGGGGAUGGCGAGAGCCUGCUGCUGAUGUAUCUGCCUUAGUCGGCGUCGGCGUCGGCGUCGGCGGCGAUGAUGCCCACGCCGCCGCCCUCGUUGGAGGACUUCGAUGCUUUAGGAGAAGAUGGCAAGCCGUUGUGGCCGUCCAAGGAAUUCCUCCGGCAGAUGUUGGUGGCCAUCGCCCCGACCGGAUCGAUUCUGCCCACUGUCUAAUUAAUUACUACGAGUAGCUUUCUUUCUACUCGAUCGUACUACGAGUAGCUUUCUUUCUACUCGAUCGUCUGCCCAUAUGUAAUAAAUUGUGACCAUCGAUGAGGGCGACUACUUUAUUUGUAUGCACUGUCUUGUUUUAAUCGAUGAUGGACUGCCUACUGUCUAAUAAAUUGUCGUUUGUUUUGCAAAGCAAAUGUAACGCGUUCAGUAUGAUCCUAAUUCCUUGCUUGUUCCUCUGCAUAUUGAUUGCUCUUGGUGCAGAUGAACGUUUCACCUAUAGCUGCUGGGAACUUGAUUAUAACUGGCUGAGCCGGCAACUUGCCCGUCUUAUUUGAUUGCUUUGCUGCUAUGCAUAUCCUCAUAUCUAUCUACCUGCACAUCAGUGGGUCAGGGCUUCCAAGGACCUGAUGAAAAAGGGGAUUGAUCAGGAUUGGGUGGCAAACGAAAAAAAAUUAUAUGAGACAAGGUCUCACGGCUAGCAGGUGAGACCCACUCUGAUGGAUGACACAUGACAUUCACAAAGCAUCUAAUCUCUCCCACCCCUCCCUCGAUUUUCAGAUAGGAAUGGACUAGAUGCUUUAUGAUUUGUGAAUGUCAUGUGUCAUCCAUCAGGGUGGGUCUUAACUCCUAGCCCGUGAAAUCUGAUCUUAUAAAAUUAUUUUCCGUGGCAAACACCACUUCGUUCCAACCAGCACAUCUUUAUCAGGUUGAUGUUUCCCGUGCCUGCUUUUAUAGUCUCAAUAGACUAUGAUGUGCACUUAUAUUGGAGGUGUAUUUAUUUAUUUAUCUAUCUGAUAUCCGGGGCGAGGCACUCUGUUGGCCAUGCACUGGUGGUAGUCCUGUCGAAUGUGUUUUUGUUACAAACAUUAACACAUGGACACCACCGAAAAUACCUACGCAAUGUCAUAUAAGACAACAAGAUAAUUUCCCCGCUCGUUGCAGCGGGAAUAUAAAGAUUAAUUGCAGAUGAGUUAUAUAUGAAGGAAAAGAUUUAAAUAAAAAGAUACUCCCUCCGUCCCAUAAUGUAAGACGGUUUUUGUCUCUAGUGUAGUGUCAAAAAACGUCUUAGAUUAUGAAACGGAGGGAGUACUAUUUUUUAUAUUGAAAUAUUCUGUACUUGCAUUGUGCGAAUAAAGAGUAUGCAUGUAUACCGUACAAUAGCAUCUGCAACAAUUUAAUCAGGGCAUUUCACAACCUUCAAAGAGUAGACAAAUUCAAUAAUGACCUAUUGUACUACAUAUGUUUGUAAAGGACUUCUUGAGAGAUGCAACAAUGAAGAAAAAGUUAAAAUCUAGUAUCAUACAGAAAAUAUAUAACAACGCUCCAGCAGUCGAGAUACAUGUAUCAUAUUUUCCCGGAAUGUCAAUGUCACUUGAAAGUACCAUCACCUAGAAGAACAUGAAAGUGCUGUGGGCGUUUACCUGUACAUCAAGGGAAGGAUUGUUUCAUGAAAUCCACAUGGAUAAAUAAUUUUUAUGUAGCUAAUACUUAACAAAGGAUCAAAUUUGAGUUCAUUCAAAUUGAUAUAUGUGGACUGCUAGAAACAAAAAAGGAAAAAUUAUAAAUAGAUCUACACAUAUGUACAAAAUUGAUAAAUGUGAAAGAAAAUAGCGCAGAUAAAAUAUUGAUGUUAUGGAAGAUCUGAAGGUACAUACCUAGAAUAUUGAGAGUUUACUAAAAACAGGGCAUUGUGCCACCAAGCUUAGGCAUGAGGUGAGCAUCAAUAACCCUAAGAAACAAAGGAAAUGAAACCCACAGAGAAGAAAUACUCAGAUAUUGCACUGGCAACAAAGUAUGUGUUACUACUACAUCCAAUUUUGGAGGUUUGUCAUUGUAUAAACAGUUGGUGAGCGUGCCGGAAAGCUCGAGUGAUAUUGCUGAAAAGGCAAGAGAAAGAACAUCCAUCUAUUAGAAAUGAAUCAUAUAUACUUUGUUGGACAAAAUGAUAAAAUCAUAACCAGGAAUCAGAACAUUUGAAUGUGAAAUAGCAAUUGACUAUAAUAUUGAACGAAAUUGAGAUUGAAAAAAUUGCUACCUCGAGUCCUUGACUCAACUGAGAGAUCUAUGGGAACCAAAAAGUUUCAUGCAAUUUAUCCAUGUUUAGAUAAUACAAAUAUGCAGACUAAUUAAGUUGUGUAGUAGCCAGCUCAUAUAUAAACGAAGGUAGAAACUGGAGUGAUCAAACAUAUCUGGAUUGAUGUGCAAAGGCUAUGGUGACUUACAUGCUUGUAUUCAAUCAUCAUGAAGUGGGUUGGUGUGAUACGUAUCCAUGUUCGUCCUAUUCGUCAUAAGAACAGAUCCAGGGGGAAUAACAAAUUAACUUGUACUCCGAACUAAAACCACGACGAGUAAUUUGGAACGGAGGGAGUACAUCCUAUAGUUUAAUCACGUGCUCCUUGACCUCCAGAAAAUGUAGAUCGAGGAUGAUACCGCCAGCCACCAGUGGGGAGUAAGAAUGAGCAGUUGCUGCUGAUUUGGGAUUCCUACUUGGCCGGUGUUAGAAGGGAGGAAGAGGUUUGGUGGAAUAGUUCGUUGUAUUGCUUUAGCCUCGUGGGCAUAUAUAUAGGAGUAUAAUGACCAACUUGGAGUACAAGACAAGGUAGGAACAAAUCCUAGUCUAUUCUAUACUUCCUAAUAUACAUUAUACUCAACAUCCCCCCGCAGUCACAACGGUAGCGACACAGACGGUGAGACUAGAGAAGAAUCGGAAGGGAAGCCGACGGACAGCCCCCUCCCCCCAGUCGUAACGGUCAAUGCAUCGCGGAGUCGUGGCUGGAGUGAAAACCGACGAGGUAGCCCUUUGUGCCAAUUUGUCGAUGUAGCCGAGAGCGGAGGGUGGUGUAGCCGUGGUCGAGGUAACCGUGCGAAGAAUGCCGUGGUCGAUGUCGAGUUGGGGAGCCGGUGUCGAGGAUGUCGCCGUGGAGCCGCGGGCGCAAGGAGGCGCCGAGUUAGCAUGGGCGCAAUGGUGUCGAAGUAGUGGUGCACCGAGAAGAAGAUGUUGUUACACGUCGCGGCGGGUUUGCCAAGCCCGGGGAUACAUCAUGAACGAAGGCACGCACCGGUGUUGCCAGCACCGGGUGAUACGUCCAUUUUGCAUCAUGCUUUGAUAUUGAUAUUUAUUGCAUUAUGGGCUGUUAUUACACGUUAUGUCACAGUACUUAUGCCUUUUCUCUCUUAUUUUACAAGGUUUACAUGAAGAGGGAGAAUGUCGGCAGCUGGAAUUCUGGGCUGGAAAAGGAGCAAAUAUUAGAGACCUAUUCUGCACAACUCCAAAAGUCCUAAAACUCCACGAAAGUUAUUUUUGGAAAAUAUUAGAAAUACUGGAUGAAGAAAAUACCAGAGGGGGGCCAUGUUGGAAAUAUGCCCUAGAGGCAAUAAUAAAAGCAUUAUUAUUAUAUUUCUUUGUUCAAGAUAAUUGUCUUUAUUCAUGCUGUAAUUGUGUUAUCCGGAAAUCGUAAUACAUGUGUGAAUAAUAGACACCAACAUGUCCCUAGUAAGCCUCUAGUUGACUAGCUCGUUGAUCAACAGAUAGUCAUGAUUUCCUGACUAUGGACAUUGGAUGUCAUUGAUAACGAGAUCACAUCAUUAGGAGAAUGAUGUGAUGGACAAGACCCAAUCCUAAACAUAGCACAAGAUCGUAUAGUUCGUUUGCUAGAGUUUUCCAAUGUCAAAGUAUCUUUUCCUUAGACCAUGAGAUCAUGUAACUCCCGGAUACCGUAGGAGUGCUUUGCGUGUGCCAAACGUCACAACGUAACUGGGUGACUAUAAAGGUAUACUACGGGUAUCUCCGAAAGUGUCUGUUGGGUUGACAUGGAUCAAGACUGGGAUUUGUCACUUCGUAUGACGGAGAGGUAUCACUGGGCCCACUUGGUAAUGCAUCAUCAUAAUGAGCUCAAAGUGACCAAGUGUUUGGUCACGGGAUCAUGCAUUACGGCAUGAGUAAAGUGACUUGCCGGUAACAAGAUUGAACGAGGUAUUGGGAUACCGACGAUCGAAUCUCGGGCAAGUAACAUAUCGAUUGACAAAGGGAAUUGUAUACGGGGUUGCUUGAAUCCUCGACAUCGUGGUUCAUCCGAUGAGAUCAUAGAGGAGCAUGUGGGAGCCAACAUGGGUAUCCAGAUCCCGCUGUUGGUUAUUGACCGGAGAGCGAUCUCGGUCAUGUCUACAUGUCUCCCGAACCCGUAGGGUCUACACACUUAAGGUUCGGUGACGCUAGGGUUGUAGGGAUAUGUAUAUGCAGUAACCCGAAUGUUGUUCGGAGUCCCGGAUGAGAUCCCGGACGUCACGAGGAGUUCCGGAAUGGUCCGGAGGUAAAGAUUUAUAUAUGGGAAGUCCUGUUUCGGCCAUCAGGACAAGUUUCGGGGUCAUCGGUAUUGUACCGGGACCACCGGAAGGGUCCUGGGGUCCACCAGGUGGGGCCACCUGUCCCGGGGGGCCACAUGGGCAGUAGGGGGUGCGCCUUGGCCUACAUGGGCCAAGGGCACCAGCCCCAAGAGGCCCCUGCGCCUAGGGUUUCAAGGAGGAAGAGUCCUAGGAGGGGAAGGCACCUCCUAGGUGCCUUGGGGAGGAGGGAUUCCUCCCCCUUGGCCGCACCCCCCUAGGAGAUUGGAUAUCCUAGGGCUGCCCCCCCCUUGGCCCUGCUAUAUAUAGUGGGGGAAGGAGGGCUCUUCAUCCACGCCUUUGGUUGCCUCCUUCUCCCUCUCCAAUACCUCCUCCUCCUCCAUAGUGCUUGGCGAAGCCCUGACGGAGUACUGCAGCUCCAUCACCACCACGCCGUCGUGCUGCUACUGGAGCCAUCUUCCUCAACCUCUCCUUUCCCCUUGCUGGAUCAAUAAGAAGGAGACAUCACUGCUCCGUACGUGUGUUGAACGCGGAGGUGCCGUCCGUUCGGUGCUAGGAUCUCCGGUGAUUUGGAUCACAUCGUGUUCGACUACCUCAUCCCCGUUCUUUGAACGCUUCUGCUCGCGAUCUACAAGGUACGUAGAUGCAUCCAAUCACUCAUUGCUAGAUGAACUCAUAGAUGGAUCUUGGUGAAACCGUAGGAAAUUUUUUGUUUUCUGCAACGUUCCCCAACAGUGGCAUCAUGAGCUAGGUCUAUGCGUAGUUCUUCUUGCGCGAGUAGAACACAAUUUGUUGUGGGCGUAGAUGUUGUCAACUUUCUUGCCGCUACUAGUCUUAUCUUGCUUCAACGGUAUUGUGGGAUGAAGCGGCCCGGACCAACCUUACACGUACGCUUACGUGAGACCGGUUCCACCGACUAACAUGCACUAGUUGCAUAAGGUGGCUGGCGGGUGUCUGUCUCUCCUACUUUAGUUGGAGCGGAUUCGAUGAAAAGGGUCCUUAUGAAGGGUAAAUAGAAGUUGACAAAUCACGUUGUGGUUUCACGUAGGUAAGAAAACGUUCUUGCUAGAACCCUACUUCAGCCACGUAAAACAUGCAACAACAAUUAGAGGUCGUCUAACUUGUUUUUGCAGCAAGUGCUUUGUGAUAUGAUAUGGCCAAAGUUGUGAUGAAUGAUGAAUGAUCUAUAUGUGAUGUAUGAGAUAUUCAUGCUAUUGUAAUAGGAAUCACGACUUGCAUGUCGAUGAGUAUGACAACCGGCAGGAGCCAUAGGAGUUGUCUUUAUUUUUUGUAUGACCCGCGUGUCAUUGAGAAACGCCAUGUAAAUUACUUUACUUUAUUGCUAAACGCGUUAGCCAUAGUAGUAGAAGUAAUAGUUGGCGAGCAACUUCAUGGAGACACGAUGAUGGGGAUCAUGAUGAUGGAGAUCAUGGUGUCAAGCCGGUGACAAGAUGAUCAUGGAGCCCCAAUAUGGAGAUCAAAGGACCUAUGUGAUAUUGGCCAUAUCAUGUCACUAUUAUUAUUUGAUUGCAUUUGAUGUUUAUCAUGUUUUGCAUCUUGUUUACUUAAAACGACGGUAGAAAAUAAGAUGAUCCCUCAUAAUAAUUUCAAGAAAGUGUUCCCCCUAACUGUGCACCGUUGCGACAGUUCGUUGUUUCAAUGCACCACGUGAUGAUCGGGUGUUUGAUUCAAAACGUUCACAUACAACGGGUGUAAGACAGAUUUACACAUGCAAACACUUAGGUUGACUUGAUGAGCCUAGCAUGUGUAUAGACAUGGCCUCGGAACACACAAGACCGAAAGGUCGAGCAUGAGUCGUAUAGAAGACACAAUCAACAUGAAGAUGUUCACCGACGUUGACUAGUCCGUCUCACGUGAUGAUCGGACACGGCCUAGUUGACUCGGAUCAUGUUAUACUUAGAUGACUAGAAGAGGGAUGUCUAUCUAAGUGGGAGUUCAUUAAAUAAUUUGAUUAGAUGAACUUAAUUAUCAUGAACUUAGUCUAAAAUCUUUACAAUAUGUCUUGUAGAUCAAAUGGCCAACGUAGUCCUCAACUUCAACGCGUUCCUAGAGAAAACCAAGCUGAAAGACGAUGGCAGCAACUAUACGGACUGGGUCCGGAACCUGAGGAUCAUCCUCAUAGUUGCCAAGAAAGAUUAUGUCCUACAAGCACCGCUGGGUGACGCACCUGUUCUCCCUGCAGAACAAGACGUUAUGAACGCUUGGCAGGCACGUACCGAUGACUACUCCCUCGUUCAGUGCGGCAUGCUUUACAGCCUAGAGCCGGGGCUCCAAAAGCAUUUUGAGAGACAUGGAGCAUAUCAGAUGUUCGAAGAGCUGAAAAUGGUUUUCCAAGCUCAUGCCCGGGUCGAGAGAUAUGAAGUCUCCGACAAAUUCUUCAGCUGUAAGAUGGAGGAAAAUAGUUCUGUCAGUGAGCACAUACUCACUAUGUCUGGUUUACAUAACUGCUUGACUCAGCUGGGAGUUAAUCUCCCGGAUGAUGCGGUCAUUGACAGAAUCCUCCAGUCGGUUCCACCGAGCUACAAGAGCUUUGUGAUGAACUUCAAUAUGCAGGGGAUGGAAAAGACCAUUCCUGAAGUAUUUGCUAUGAUGAAAUCAGCAGAGGUAGAAGUCAAGAAGGAACAUCAAGUGUUGAUGGUGAAUAAAACCACUAAGUUCAAGAAGGGCAAGGGUAAAAAGAACUUCAAGAAGGACGGCAAGGGAGUUGCCGCGCCCGGCAAGCAAGCUGCCGGGAAGAAGCCAAAGAAUGGACCCAAGCCCGAGACUGAGUGCUUUUAUUGCAAGGAAAGUGGUCACUGGAAGCAAAACUGCCCCAAAUACUUAGCGGAGAAGAAGGCCGGCAAAACAAAAGGUAUAUAUGAUAUACAUGUAAUUGAUGUGUACCUUACUAGUACCCGUAGUAGCUCCUGGGUAUUUGAUACCGGUGCAGUUGCUCACAUUUGUAACUCAAAGCAGGGGCUGCGGAAUAAGCGGAGACUGGCAAAGGACGAGGUGACGAUGCGUGUCGGGAAUGGUUCCAAGGUCAAUGUGAUCGCCGUCGGCACGCUACCUCUGUAUUUACCUUCGGGAUUAGUUUUAAACCUUAAUAAUUGUUAUUUAGUGCCAGCUUUGAGCAUGAACAUUGUAUCAGGAUCUCGUUUAAUUCGAGAUGGCUACUCAUUUAAAUCCAAGAAUAAUGGUUGUUCUAUUUAUAUGAGAGAUAUGUUUUAUGGUCAUGCUCCUAUGGUGAAUGGUUUAUUCUUAAUGAAUCUCGAGCGUAAUGCUACACAUAUUCAUAGUGUGAGUACCAAAAGAUCUAAAGUUGAUAAUGAUAGUCCCACAUACUUGUGGCACUGCCGCCUUGGUCACAUAGGUGUCAAACGCAUGAAGAAGCUCCAUGCAGAUGGACUUUUAGAGUCUCUUGAUUACAAAUCAUUUGACACGUGCGGACCAUGCCUCAUGGGUAAGAUGACCAAGACUCCAUUCUCAGGAACAAUGGAGCGAGCAGCCAACUUAUUGGAAAUCAUACAUACUGAUGUGUGCGGUCCAAUGAGUGUUGAGGCUCGCGGUGGCUAUCGUUAUGUUCUCACCCUCACUGAUGAUUUGAGUAGUUAUGGGUAUAUCUACCUAAUGAAACACAAGUCUGAAACCUUUGAAAAGUUCAAGGAAUUUCAGAGUGAGGUUGAGAAUCAACGUGACAGGAAAAUCAAGUUUCUACGAUCAGAUCGUGGAGGAGAAUACUUGAGUCACGAAUUUGGCACACACUUAAGAAAAUGUGGAAUAGUUUCACAACUCACGCCGCCUGGAACACCUCAGCGUAAUGGUGUGUCAGAACGUCGUAAUCGCACUCUAUUAGAUAUGGUGCGAUCUAUGAUGUCUCUUACCGAUUUACCGCUAUCUUUUUGGGGCUAUGCUUUAGAGACUGCCGCAUUCACUUUAAAUAGGGCUCCGUCAAAAUCCGUUGAGACGACACCGUUUGAAUUAUGGUUUGGGAAGAAACCUAAGCUGUCGUUUCUGAAAGUUUGGGGAUGCGAUGAUUAUGUCAAGAAACUUCAACCUGAAAAGCUCGAACCCAAGUCGGAAAAAUGCGUCUUCAUAGGAUACCCUAAAGAAACUGUUGGGUAUACCUUCUACCUCAGAUCCGAAGGCAAGAUCUUUGUUGCCAAGAAUGGAUUCUUUUUAGAGAAAGAGUUUCUCUCGAAAGAAGUAAGUGGGAGGAAAGUAUAACUUGAUGAAGUGUUACCUCUUGAACCGGAAAAUGGCACAACUCAAGAAAAUGUUCCUGAGGUUCCUGCACCUACUAGAGAGGAAGUUAUUGAUGAUGAUCAAGAUACUUCUGAUCAAGCUCCUACUGAAAUUCGAAGGUCCACAAGGACACGUUCCACACCAGAGUGGUACGGCAACCCUGUCUUGGAAAUCAUGUUGUUAGACAACGGUGAACCUUCGAACUAUGAAGAAGCGAUGGCGGGCCCGGAUUCUGACAAAUGGCUAGAAGCCAUGAAAUCCGAGAUAGGAUCCAUGUAUGAAAAUGAAGUAUGGACUUUGACUGACUUGCCCGUUGAGCGGUGAGCCAUAGAAAAUAAAUGGAUCUUUAAGAGGAAGACAGACGCGGAUGGUAAUGUGACCAUCUAUAAAGCUCGGCUUGUCGCUAAGGGUUAUCGACAAGUUCAAGGGGUUGACUACGAUGAGACUUUCUCACCGGUAGCGAAGCUGAAGUCCGUCCGAAUCAUGUUAGCAAUUGCCGCAUUCUACGAUUAUGAAAUAUGGCAAAUGGACGUCAAAACGACAUUCCUUAAUGGUUUCCUUAAGGAAGAAUUGUAUAUGAUGCAGCCGGAAGGUUUUGUCGAUCCUAAGAAUGCUGACAAGGUGUGCAAGCUCCAACGCUCGAUUUAUGGGCUGGUGCAAGCAUCUCGGAGUUGGAACAUUCGCUUUGAUGAGAUGAUCAAUGCGUUUGGGUUUACGCAGACUUAUGGAGAAGCCUGCGUUUACAAGAAAGUGAGUGGGAGCUCUGUAGCAUUUCUCAUACUAUAUGUAGAUGACAUACUUUUGAUGGGAAAUGAUAUAGAACUCUUGGACAGCAUCAAGGCCUAUUUGAAUAAGAGUUUUUCAAUGAAGGACCUUGGAGAAGCUGCUUAUAUAUUAGGCAUCAAGAUCUAUAGAGAUAGAUCAAGACACCUCAUAGGUCUUUCACAAAGCACAUACCUUGAUAAGAUAUUGAAGAAGUUCAAUAUGGAUCAAUCUAAGAAGGGGUUCUUGCCUGUGUUACAAGGUGUGAAAUUGAACUCAGCUCAAUGUCCAACCACGGCAGAAGAUAUAGAAGAGAUGAGUGUCAUCCCCUAUGCCUCAGCCAUAGGUUCUAUUAUGUAUGCCAUGCUGUGUACCAGACCUGAUGUAAACCUUGCCGUAAGUUUGGUAGGAAGGUACCAAAGUAAUCCCGGCAAGGAACACUGGACAGCGGUCAAGAAUAUCCUAAAGUACCUGAAAAGGACUAAGGAAAUGUUUCUCGUUUAUGGAGGUGACGAAGAGCUCGUCGUAAAGGGUUACGUCGACGCUAGCUUCGACAUAGAUCUGGAUGACUCUAAGUCACAAACCGGAUACGUGUAUAUUUUGAAUGGUGGGGCAGUAAGCUGGUGCAGUUGCAAGCAGAGCGUCGUGGCGGGAUCUACAUGUGAAGCGGAGUACAUGGAAGCCUCGGAGGCAGCACAUGAAGCAAUAUGGGUGAAGGAGUUCAUCAGCGACCUAGGAGUCAUACCCAAUGCGUCGGGGUAUCAAACUCUUCUGUGACAACACUGGAGCUAUUUCACUUGCCAAGGAGCCCAGGUUUCACAAGAAGACAAGACACAUCAAGCGUCGCUUCAACUCCAUUCGUGAAAAUGUUCAAGAUGGAGACAUAGAGAUUUGUAAAGUACAUACGGACCUGAAUGUAGCGGAUCCGUUGACUAAACCUCUCCCUAGAGCAAAACAUGAUCAACACCAGAAUUCCAUGGGUGUUUGAUUCAUCACAGUGUAACUAGAUUAUUGACUCUAGUGCAAGUGGGAGACUGUUGGAAAUAUGCCCUAGAGGCAAUAAUAAAAGCAUUAUUAUUAUAUUUCUUUGUUCAUGAUAAUUGUCUUUAUUCAUGCUGUAAUUGUGUUAUCCGGAAAUCGUAAUACAUGUGUGAAUAAUAGACACCAACAUGUCCCUAGUAAGCCUCUAGUUGACUAGCUCGUUGAUCAACAGAUAGUCAUGAUUUCCUGACUAUGGACAUUGGAUGUCAUUGAUAACGAGAUCACAUCAUUAGGAAAAUGAUGUGAUGGACAAGACCCAAUCCUAAACAUAGCACAAGAUCGUAUAGUUUGUUUGCUAGAGUCUUCCAAUGUCAAAGUAUCUUUUCCUUAGACCAUGAGAUCGUGUAACUCCCGGAUACCGUAGGAGUGCUUUGGGUGUGCCAAACGUCACAACAUAACUGGGUGACUAUAAAGGUAUACUACGGGUAUCUCCGAAAGUGUCUGUUGGGUUGACAUGGAUCAAGACUGGGAUUUGUCACUCCGUAUGACGGAGGGGUAUCACUGGGCCCACUCGGUAAUGCAUCAUCAUAAUGAGCUCAAAGUGACCAAGUGUCUGGUCAUGGGAUCAUGCAUUACGGCAUGAGUAAAGUGACUUGCCGGUAACGAGAUUGAACGAGGUAUUGGGAUACCGACGAUCGAAUCUCGGGCAAGUAACAUAUCGAUUGACAAAGGGAAUUGUAUACGGGGUUGCUUGAAUCCUCGACAUCGUGGUUCAUCCGAUGAGAUCAUCGAGGAGCAUGUGGGAGCCAACAUGGGUAUCCAGAUCCCGCUGUUGGUUAUUGACCGGAGAGCGAUCUCGGUCAUGUCUACAUGUCUCCCGAACCCGUAGGGUCUACACACUUAAGGUUCGGUGAUGCUAGGGUUGUAGGGAUAUGUAUAUGCAGUAACCCGACUGUUGUUCGGAGUCCCGGAUGAGAUCCGGACGUCACGAGGAGUUCCGGAAUGGUCUGGAGGUAAAGACUUAUAUAUGGUAAGUCCUGUUUCGGCCAUCGGGACAAGUUUCGGGGUCAUCGGUAUUGUACCGGGACCACCGGAAGGGUCCCGGGGGUCCACCGGGUGGGGCCACCUGUCCCGGGGGGCCACAUGGGCAGUAGGGGGUGCACCUUGGCCUACAUGGGCCAAGGGCACCAGCCCCAAGAGGCCCAUGCGCCUAGGGUUUCAAGGAGGAAGAGUCCUAGGAGGGGAAGGCACCUCCUAGGUGCCUUGGGGAGGAGGGAUUCCUCCCCCUUGGCCGCACCCCCCUAGGAGAUUGGAUCUCCUAGGGCCGGCGCCCCCCCUUGGCCCUCCUAUAUAUAGUGGGGGAAGGAGGGCUCUUCAUCCACGCCUUUGGUUGCCUCCUUCUCCCUCUCCAAUACCUCCUCCUCCUCCAUAGUGCUUGGCGAAGCCCUGACGGAGUACUGCAGCUCCAUCACCACCACGCCGUCGUGCUGCUGCUGGAGCCAUCUUCCUCAACCUCUCCUUUCCCCUUGCUGGAUCAAGAAGAAGGAGAGGUCGCUGCUCCGUACGUGUGUUGAACGCGGAGGUGCCGUCCGUUCGGUGCUAGGAUCUCCGGUGAUUUGGAUCACAUCGUGUUCGACUACCUCAUCCCCGUUCUUUGAACACUUCCACUCGCGAUCUACAAGGUACGUAGAUGCAUCCAAUCACUCGUUGCUAGAUGAACUCAUAGAUGGAUCUUGGUGAAACCGUAGGAAAUUUUUUGUUUUCUGCAACGUUCCCCAACAGCCCACACCAUGGCCACGAGGGUCGGGGCGCGCCCUACCCCCCUGGGCGCGCCCCCUUGCCUCGUGGGCCCCCUGGUGGCCCUUCAGUGCCCAUCUUCUACUAUAUGAAGUUUAUCGUCCGAGAAGAAAUCAGAAGCAAGUUUACGGGGCGAGACUCCACCGCCAUGAGGCGGAACCUUGGCGGAACCAAUCUAGGGCUCCGGCGGAGCUGUUCUGCCGGGGAAACUUCCCUCCGGGAGGGGGAAAUCAUCACCAUCGUCAUCAGCAACGAUCCUCCCAUCGGGAGAGGGUCAAUAUUCAUCAACAUCUUCACCAGCACCAUCUCCUCUCAAAACCUAGUUCAUCUCUUGUAUCCAAUUCUUGUCUCUAAGUCUGAGAUAGGUACCUGUAGGAUGCUAGUAGUGUUGAUUACUCCUUGUAGUUGAUGCUAGUUGGUUUACUUGGUGGAAGAUUAUAUGUUCAGAUCCUAUAUGCAUAUUAAUACCCUCUGAUUAUGAACAUUAAUAUGAUUUGUGAGUAGUUACGUUUGUUCCUAAGGACAUGGGAGAAGUCUUGCUAUUAGUAGUCAUGUGAAUUUGGUAUUCGUUCGAUAUUUUGAUGAGAUGUAUGUUGUCUCUCCUCUAGUGGUGUCAUGUGAACGUCGACUACAUGACACUUCACCAUUAUUUGGGCCUAGAGGAAGGCAUUCGGAAGUAAUAAGUAGAUGAUGGGUUGCUAGAGUGACAGAAGUUUAAACCCUAGUUUAUGCGUUGCUUCGUAAGGGGCUGAUUUGGAUCCAUAUGUUUCAUGAUGUGGUUAGGUUUACCUUAAUACUUCUUUUGUAGUUGCAGAUGCUUGCAUUAGGAGUUAAUCAUAAGUGGGAUGCUUGUCCAAGUUGUUGGGGAUCAUAGCAGAAAUUUAAAAUUUUCUACGCAUCACCUAGAUCAAUCUAUGGAGUGAUCUAGCAACGAGAGAGAGAGGAGUGCAUCUACAUACCCUUGUAGAUCGCGAGCGGAAGCGUUCAAGAGAACGGGGUUGAUGGAGUCGUACUCGUCGUGAUCCAAAUCACCAAUGAUCCUAGCGCUGAACGGACGGCACCUCCGCAUUCAACACACGUACGGAGCGGAGAUGUCUCCUCCUUCUUGAUCCAGCAAGGGGGAAAGAGAAGUUGAUGGAGAUCCAGCAGCACGACAGCGUGGUGGUGGAAGCAUCGGAAUUCCAGCAGGGCUUCACCAAGUGCUACUGGAGGAGGAAGAGGUGUCACGGGAGGGAGAGGAAGGCGCUAGGGCUUAGGGUGCGGCUGCCCUCCCUCCCCUCCACUAUAUAUAGGGACUAGGGGGCGCAUGCCCCCUUGGAGAUCCCAUCUAGAGGGGGGGCUCCCAAGGGUUUAGGGUGCGGCUGCCCUCCCUCCCUCCACUAUAUAUAGGGGCUAGGGGGGGCACAUGCGCCCCCCUACGCUACUCUCCGGUUCAAGAGGCAAUACUUCAUCAAGUUCUACUUUCCUCCCACUUACUUCUUUCGAGAGAAACUCUUUCUCUAGAAAGGAUCCAUUCUUGGCAACAAAGAUCUUGCCUUCGGAUCUGAGGUAGAAGGUAUACCCAAUAGUUUCCUUAGGGUAUCCUAUGAAGACGCAUUUUUCCGAUUUGGGUUCGAGCUUUUCAGGUUGAAGUUUCUUGACAUAAGCAUCGCAUCCCCAAACUUUCAGAAACGACAACUUAGGUUUCUUCCCAAACCAUAAUUCAUACGGUGUCGUCUCAACGGAUUUCGAUGGAGCCCUAUUUAAAGUGAAUGCGGCAGUCUCUAUAGCAUAACCCCAAAAUGAUAGCGGUAGAUCGGUAAGAGACAUCAUAGAUCGCACCAUAUCCAAUGGAGUGCGAUUACGACGUUUGGACACACCAUUAUGCUGAGGUGUUCCAGGCGGCGUGAGUUGUGAAACAAUUCUAGAUUUCCUUAAGUGCGUGCCAAAUUCGUGACUCAAAUAUUCUCCCCCACGAUCUGAUCGUAAGACCUUGAUUUUCCUGUCACAUUGAUUCUCAACCUCACUCUGAAAUUCCUUGAACUUUUCAAAGGUCUCAGACUUGUGUUUCAUUAAGUAGACAUACCCAUAUCUACUUAAGUCAUCAGUGAGGGUGAGAACAUAACGAUAACCACCGCGAGCCUCAACACUCAUUGGACCGCACACAUCAGUAUGUAUGAUUUCCAAUAAGUUGGUUGCUCGCUCCAUUGUUCCGGAGAACGGAGUCUUGGUCAUUUUACCCAUGAGGUAUGGUUCGCACGUGUCAAAUGAUUCAUAAUCAAGAGACUCCAAAAGUCCAUCUGCAUGGAGUUUCUUCAUGCGUCUGACACCAAUGUGACCAAGGCGGCAGUGCCACAAGUAUGCGGCACUAUCAUUAUCAACCUUACAUCUUUUGGCAUUCACACUGUGAAUAUGUGUAACAUCACGUUCGAGAUUCAAUAAGAAUAAACCAUUGACCAGCGGGGCAUGACCAUAAAACAUGCCUCUCAUAUAAAUAGAACAACUAUUAUUCUCAGAUUUAAAUGUGUAGCCAUCUCGCAUUAAACGAGAUCCAGAUACAAUGUUCAUUCUCAAAGCUGGUACUAAAUAACAAUUAUUGAGGUUUAAAACUAAUCAUGUAGGUAAAUGUAGAGGUAGCGUGCCGACGGCGAUCACAUCGACCUUGAAACCAUUCCCGACGCGCAUCGUCACCUCAUCCUUCGCCAGUCUCUGCUUAUUCCGCAGCUCCUGUUUUGAGUUACAAAUAUGAGCAACCGCACCGGUAUCAAAUACCCAGGAGCUACUACGAGCGCUGGUUAGGUACACAUCAAUAACAUGUAUAUCACAUAUACCUUUGGUAUUGCCGGCCUUCUUAUCCGCUAAGUACUUGGGGCAGUUCCGCUUCCAGUGACCGUUUCCCUUGCAAUAAAAGCACUCAGUCUCAGGCUUGGGUCCAUCCUUUGGCUUCUUCCCGGCAACUGGCUUACCGGGUGCGGCAACUCCCUUGCCGUACUUCUUGAAGUUCUUCUUACCCUUGCCUUUCUUAAACUUAGUGGUUUUAUUCACCAUCAACACUUGAUGUUCCUUUUUGAUCUCCACCUCCGCUGAUUUCAGCAUCAUCCGGGAGAUUAACUCCCAGCUGAGAUAAGCGGUUGUGCAACCCAGACAUUUUGAGUAUGUGCUCGCUGACAGAACUAUUCCCCUCCAUCUUACAACUGUAGAACUUGUCGGAGACGUCAUAUCUCUCGACCUGGGCAUGAGCUUGUAAAACCAUUUUCAGCUUUUGGAGCCCCGGUUCUAAGCUGUAAAGCAUGCCGCACUGAACCAGGGAGUAAUCAUCACUACCCGACUGCCAGGCGUUCAUAACAUCUUGAGUUGCUGGGAAAACAGGUGCUUCACCUAGCGGUGCAUCAAGGACAUAUGCUUUCUUGGCAGCUGGAUAAUAAUCAGGUUACGGACCCAGUCCGUGUAGUUGCUGCCAUCGUCUUUCAGCUUGGUUUUCUCUAGGAACGCGUUGAAGUUGAGGGCAACACUAGCGUGAGCCAUUUGAUCUACAUGUUAUUGAUGUGUACCUUACUAGAGCUCGCAGUAGCACCUGGGUAUUUAAUACUGGUUCUGUUGCUAAUAUUUGCAACUCGAAAUAUGGACUACGGAUUAAGCGAACACCGGCGAAGGACGAGGUGACGAUGCGCGUGGGAAAUGGUUCCAAAGUCGAUGUGAUCGCGAUCGGCACGCUACCUCUACAUCUACCUUCGGGAUUAGUUUUAGACCUAAAUAAUUGUUAUUUGGUGCCAGCGUUGAGCAUGAACAUUAUAUCUGGAUCUUGUUUGAUGCGAGAUGGUUAUUCAUUUAAAUCAGAGAAUAAUGGUUGUUCUAUUUAUAUGAGUAAUAUCUUUUAUGGUCAUGAACCCUUGAAGAUUGGUCUAUUUUUGAUGAAUCUCGAUAGUAGUGAUACACAUAUUCAUAAUGUUGAAGCCAAAAGAUGCAGAGUUGAUAAUGAUAGUGCAACUUAUUUGUGGCACUGUCGUUUAGGUCAUAUCGGUGUAAAGCGCAUGAAGAAACUCCAUACUGAUGGACUUUUGGAACCACUUGAUUAUGAAUCACUUGGUACUUGCGAACCGUGCCUCAUGGGCAAGAUGACUAAAACACCGUUCUCCGGUACUAUGGAGAGAGCAACAGAUUUGUUGGAAAUCAUACAUAGAGAUGUAUGUGGUCCAAUGAAUGUUGAGGCUCGUGGCGGAUAUCGUUAUUUUCUCACCUUCACAGAUGAUUUAAGCAGAUAUGGGUAUAUCUACUUAAUGAAACAUAAGUCUGAAACAUUUGAAAAGUUCAAAGAUUUUCAGAGUGAAGUUGAAAAUCAUCGUAACAAGAAAAUAGAGUUUCUACAAUCUGAUCGUGGAGGAGAAUAUUUGAGUUACGAGUUUGGUCUACAUUUGAAACAAUGCGGAAUAGUUUCACAACUCACGCCACCCGGAACACCACAGCGUAAUGGUGUGUCCGAACAUCGUAAUCAUACUUUACUUGAUAUGGUACGAUCUAUGAUGUCUCUUACUGAUUUACCGCUAUCAUUUUAGGGUUAUGCUUUAGAGACGACCGCAUUCACGUCAAAUAGGGCACCAUCAAAAUUCGUUGAGACGACGCCUUAUGAACUGUGGUUUGGCAAGAAACCAAAGUUGUCGUUUCUGAAAGUUUGGGGCUGCGAUGCUUAUGUGAAAAAGCUUCAACCUGAUAAGCUCGAACCCAAAUUGGAGAAAUGUGUCUUCAUAGGAUACCCAAAGGAAACUGUUGGGUACACCUUCUAUCACAAAUCCGAAGGCAAGACAUUCGUCGCUAAGAAUGGAUCCUUUCUAAAGAAGGAGUUUCUCUCGAAAGAAGUGAGUGGGAGGAAAGUAGAACUUGACGAGGUAACUGUACCUGCUCCCUUAUUGGAAAGUAGUUCAUCGCAUAAAUCAGUUUCUGCGACACCUACACCAAUUAGUGAGGAAGUUAAUGAUGCUGAUCAUGAAACUUCAGAUCAAGUAAUUACUGAACCUCGUAGAUCAACCAGAGUAAGAUCCACACCAGAGUGGUAUGGUAAUCAUGUUCUGGAAGUCAUGUUACUAGACCAUGAUGAACCUACGAACUAUGAAGAAGCGAUGGUGAGCCCAGAUUCCGCAAAAUGGCUUGAGGCCAUGAAAUCUAAGAUGGGAUCCAUGUAUGAGAACAAAGUGUGGACUUUGGUUGACUUGCCCGAUGAUCGGCAAGCAAUUGAGAAUAAAUGGAUCUUCAAGAAGAAGACUGACGCUGACGGUAAUGUUACUGUCUACAAAACUCGACUUGUCACAAAAGGUUUUCGACAAGUUCAAGGGAUUGACUACGAUGAGAACUUCUCACCCGUAGCGAUGCUUAAGUCUGUCCGAAUCAUGUUAGCGAUUGCCGCAUUUUAUGAUUAUGAAAUAUGGCAGAUGGAUGUCAAAACUGCAUUCCUGAACGGGUUUCUGGAAACAGAGUUGUAUAUGAUGCAACCGGAAGGUUUUGUCGAUCCAAAGGGAGCUAACAAAGUGUGCAAGCUCCAGCAAUCCAUUUAUGGACUGGUGCAAGCCUCUCGGAGUUGGAAUAAACGCUUUGAUAGUGUGAUCAAAGCAUUUGGUUUUAUACAGACUUUUGGAGAAGCCUGUAUUUACAAGAAAGUGAGUGGGACCUCUGUAGCAUUUCUGAUAUUAUAUGUGGAUGACAUAUUGCUGGUCGGAAAUGAUAUAGAAUUUCUGGAUAGCAUAAAGGGAUACUUGAAUAAGAGUUUUUCAAUGAAAGACCUCGGUGAAGCUGCUUACAUAUUGGGCAUUAAGAUCUAUAGAGAUAGAUCAAGACGAUUAAUUGGACUUUCACAAAGCACAUACCUUGACAAAGUUUUGAAGAAGUUCAAAAUGGAUCAGGCAAAGAAAGGGUUCUUGCGUGUGUUACAAGGUGUGAAGUUGAGUAAGACUCAAUACCCAACCACUGCAGAAGAUAGAGAGAAGAUGAAAGAUGUUCCCUAUGCUUCAGCCAUAGGCUCUAUCAUGUAUGCAAUGCUGUGUACCAGACCUGAUGUGUGCCUAGCUAUAAGUCUAGUAGGGAGGUACCAAAGUAAUCCAGGAGUGGAUCACUGGACAGCGGUCAAGAACAUCCUGAAAUACCUGAAAAGGACUAAGGAUAUGUUUCUUGUAUAUGGAGGUGACAAAGAGCUCAUCAUAAAUGGUUGCGUUGACGCAAGCUUUGACACUGAUCCGGACGAUUCUAAAUCGCAAACCGGAUACGUGUUUACAUUGAACAGUGGAGCUGUCAGAUGGUGCAGUUCUAAACAAAGCGUCGUGGCGGGAUCUACAUGUGAAGCGGAGUACAUAGCUGCUUCGAAAGCAGCAAAUGAAGGAGUCUGGAUGAAGGAGUUCAUAUCCGAUCUAGGUGUCAUACCUAGUGCAUCGGGUCCAAUGAAAAUCUUUUGUGACAAUACUGGUGCAAUUGCCUUGGCAAAGGAAUCCAGAUUUCACAAGAGAACCAAGCACAUCAAGAGACGCUUCAAUUCCAUUCGGGAUUUAGUCCAAGUGGGAGACAUAGAAAUUUGCAAGAUACAUACGGAUCUGAAUGUAGCAGACCCAUUGACUAAGCCUCUUCCACGAGCAAAACAUGAUCAACACCAAAGCUCCAUGGGUGUUAGAAUCAUUACUUUGUAAUCUAGAUUAUUGACUCUAGUGCAAGUGGGAGACUGAAGGAAAUAUGCCCUAGAGGCAAUAAUAAAGUUAUUAUUUAUUUCCUUAUAUCAUGAUAAAUGUUUAUUAUUCAUGCUAGAAUUGUAUUAACCGGAAACAUAAUACAUGUGUGAAUACAUAGACAAACAGAGUGUCACUAGUAUGCCUCUACUUGACUAGCUUGUUAAUCAAAGAUGGUUAUGUUUCCUAGCCAUAGACAUGUGUUGUCAUUUGAUUAACGGGAUCACAUCAUUGGGAGAAUGAUGUGAUUGAAAUGACCCAUUCCGUUAGCUUAGCACAUGAUCGUUUAGUAUGUUGCUAUUGCUUUAUUCAUGACUUAUACAUGUUCCUAUGACUAUGAGAUUAUGCAACUCCUGUUUACCGAAGGAACACUUUGUGUGCUACCAAACGUCACAAUGUAACUGGGUGAUUAUAAAGGUGCUCUACAGGUGUCUCCAAAGGUACAUGUUGAGUUGGCGUAUUUCGAGAUUAGGAUUUGUCACUCCGAUUGUCGGAGAGGUAUCUCUGGGCCCACUUGGUAAUGCACAUCACUUAAGCCUUGCAAGCAUUGCAACUAAUGAGUUGGUUGCGGGAUGAUGUAUUACGGAACGAGUAAAGAGACUUGCCGGUAACGAGAUUGAACUAGGUAUUAACAUUCCGACGAUCGAAUCUCGGGCAAGUAACAUACCGAUGACAAAGGGAACAACGUAUGUUGUUAUGUGGUCUGACCGAUAAAGAUCUUCGUAGAAUAUGUGGGAGCCAAUAUGAGCAUCCAGGUUCCGCUAUUGGUUAUCGACCGGAGACGUGUCUUGGUCAUGUCUACAUUGUUCUUGAACCCGUAGGUUCCGCACGCUUAACGUUACGAUGACAGUUUCAUUAUGAGUUUAUAUGUUUUGAUGUACCGAAGGUUUUUCGGAGUCCCGGAUGUGAUCACGGACAUGACAACGAGUCUCGAAAUGGUCGAGACAUGAAGAUUGAUAUAUUGGAAGCCUAUGUUUGGACAUCGGAAGUGUUCCGGGUGAAAUCGGCAUUUUACGGGAGUACCAGGAGGUUACCGGAACCCCCCGGUAACCUAAUGGGCCUUAAUGGGCCUAGUGGAGGAAGAGGAGAGGAGACCAAGGGGCAGCCGCGCGCCCCUCCCCCAAGUCCGAAUUGGACAAGGAGGGGGGGCGGCGCUCCCCCUUUCCUUUCCCCUCUCUCUCCCCUUCCCCCAAGUCCUAGUCCAACAUGGAAAAGGGGGGGAGUCCUACUCCCGGUAGGAGUAGGACUCCUCCUGGUGCGCCCCUUGCCUGGCCGCACCUCCUCCCCCUUGCUCCUUUAUAUAGGGGGCAGGGGGCACCCCAUAGACACAACAAUUAAUCAUUGAUUUCUUAGCCGUGUGCGGUGCCCCCCUCCACCAUAAUCCUCGAUAAUAUUGUAGCGGUGCUUAGGCGAAGCCCUGCGAUCGUAGAACAUCAAGAUCGUCAUCACGCCGUCGUGUUGACGGAACUCUUCCCCGACAUUCUGCUGGAUCGGAGUCCGGGGAUCUUCAUCAAGCUGAACGUGUGGUAGAACUCGGAGGUGACGUAGUUUCGGUGCUUGAUCGGUCGGGCCGUGAAGACGUACGACUACAUCAACCAUGUUGUCAUAACGCUUCCCCUUUCGGUCUACGAGGGUACGUGGACAACACUCUCCCCUCUCGUUGCUAUGCAUCACCAUGAUCUUGCGUGUGCGUAGGAAUUUUUUUGAAAUUACUACGUUUCCCAACAUUUAUUCUACCGUUGUUCUAAGCAAAUAAGAUGUAAAAACAUGAUAAACAUCACAUGCAAUCAAAUAGUGACAUGAUAUGGCCAAUAUCAUUUUGCUCCUUUUGAUCUCCAUCUUCGGGGCGACAUGAUCAUCAUCGUCACCGGCUUGACACCAUGAUCUCCAUCAUCAUGAUCCUUGUCAUCGUGUCUUCAUGAAGUUGUCUCGUCAACUAUUACUUCUACUACUAUGGCUAACGAUUUAGCAAUAAAGUAAAGUAAUUACAUGACGUUUAUGUUGAGACGCAGGUCAUAAAUAAAUUAAGACAACUCCUAUGGCUCCUGCCGGUUGUCAUACUCAUCGACAUGCAAGUCGUGAUUCCUAUUAAAACAACAUGAUCAAUCUCAUACAUCACAUCCUUUUGGCCAUAUCACAUCACACGAGAUAUGCUGCAAAAACAAGUUAGACGUACUCUAAUUGUUGUUGCAAUUUUUUUUACGUGGCUGCUAUAGGUUUCUUAGCAAGAACGUUUCUUACCUACACCAAAACCACAACGUGAUAUGCCAAUUUCCAUUUACCCUUUAUAAGGACCCUUUUCAUCGAAUCCGAUCCGACUAAAGUGGGAGAGACAGACACCCGCUAGCCACCUUAUGCAACUAGUGCAUGUCAGUCGGUGGAACCUGUCUCACGUAAGCGUACGUGUAAGGUUGGUCCGGGCCGCUUCAUCCCACGAUGCCGCCAAAUCAAGAUAAGACUAGUAACGACAAGUAAAUUGACAAAAUCGACGCCCACAACAACUUGUGUUCUACUCGUGCAUAGAAACUACGCAUAGACCUAGCUCAUGACGCCACUGUUGGGGAUCGUAGCAGAAAUUUAAAAUUUUCUACACAUCACCAAGAUCAAUCUAUGGAGUCAUCUAGCAACGAUAGAGAGAGGAGUGCAUCUACAUACCCUUGUAGAUCGCGAGCAGAAGCGUUCAAGAGAACGGGGUUGAUGGAGUCGUACUCGUCGUGAUCCAAAUCACCGAUGAUCCUAGCGCCGAACGAACGGCACCUCCGCGUUCUACACACGUAUGGAGCGGAGACGUCUGCUCCUUCUUGAUCCAGCAAGGGGGAAGGAGAAGUUGAUGGAGAUCCAGCAGCACGGCGGCGUGGUGGUGGAAGCAGCGGGAUUUCAGUAGGGCUUCUCCAAGCGCUACUGGAGGAGGAAGAGGUGUCACGGGAGGGAGAGGGAGGCGCCAGGGCUUAGGGUGCGGCUGCCCUCCCUCCCCUCCACUAUAUAUAGGGGCUAGGGGGCGCAUUCCCCCUUGCAGAUCCCAUCUAGAGGGGGGAGGCGGCAGCCCCCGGGGCAGCGGCCCCUCAGGGGGCAACGACCCCCUUAGGGUUUCCAACCAGGGGGCGCAUGCCCCCUCGGGUUUCGAACCCUAGGUGCCUUGGGCCCUUGGUUGGGGUGCACCAGCCCACCCGGGGCUGGUUCCCACGCCAUCCCAUGGAGCCCUCCAGGAUAGGUGGCCCCACCCGGUGAACCCCCCGGACCCUUCCAGUGGUCCCGAUACAAUACCGGUGACCCCCGAAACUCUCCCGGUGGCCGAAACUGGACUUCCUAUAUAUAAAUCUUUACCUCGGGACCAUUUCGGAACUCCUCGUGACAUCCGGUAUCUCAUCCGGGACUCUGGACAACUUUCGGUUAACCGCAUACUAAUAUCUCUAUAACUCUAGCGUCACCGAACCUUAAGUGUGUAGACCCUACGGGUUCGGGAGACACGUAGACAUGACCGAGACAACUCUCCGGUCAAUAAUCAACAGUGGGAUCUGGAUACCCAUGUUGGCUCCCACAUGCUCCAUGAUAAUCUCAUCGGAUGAACCACGAUGUCAAGGAUUCAAUCAAUCCUGUAUACAAUUCCCGUUGUCUAUCGGUACGAUACUUGCCCGAGAUUCGAUCAUCGGUAUACCGAUACCUUGUUCAAUCUCGUUACGGCAAGUCUCUUUACUCGUUCCCGUAACACAUCAUCCCGUGAACAACUCCUUGAUCACAUUGAGCUCAUUAUGAUGAUGUCCUACCGAGUGGGCCCAGAGAUACCUCUCUGUCAUACGGAGUGACAUAUCCCAGUCUCGAUUCAUGCCAACCCAACAGAUACUUUCGGGUAUACCUGUAGUGUACCUUUAUAGCCACCCAGUUACGUUGUGACGUUUGGCACACCCAAAGUACCCUUACGGUAUCCGGGAGUUGCACAAUCUCAUGGUCUAAGGAAAGGAUACUUGACAUUAGAAAAGCUUUAGCAGACGAAUUACACGAUCUUGUGCUAUGCUUAGGAUUGGGUCUUGUCCAUCACAUCAUUAUCCUAAUGAUGUGAUCCCGUUAUCAAUGACAUCCUAUGUCCAUGGUUAGGAAACCGUAACCAUCUAUUGAUCAACGAUCUAGUCAACUAGAGGCUCACUAGGGACAUGUUGUGGUCUAUGUAUUCACACAUGUAUUACGGUUUCCGGAUAACACAAUUAUAGCAUGAAUAAUAGACAAUUAUCAUGAACAAGGAAAUAUAAUAAUAACCUUUUUAUUAUUGCCUUUAGGGCAUAUUUCCAACACAAGUAAGGGCAGCACCCAAGGACCGGUCCACCCACAUAUCAAAUUAUCAAAGUACCAAACGCGAAUCAUAUGAACGUGAUGAAAACUAGCUUGAUGAUAAUUCCCAUGUGUCCUCGGGAGCGUUUUCCUUUAUAUAAGAAAUUGUCCAGGCUUGUCCUUUGCUACAAAAAGGAUUGGGCCACCUUGCUGCACCUUAUUUACUUUUAUUACUUGUUGCUCGUUACCAUUUACCUUAUCACAAAACUAUCUGUUACCGAUAAUUUUAGUGCUUGCAGAGAAUACCUUACUGAAAACCACUUGUCAUUUCCUUCUGCUCCUCGUUGGGUUCGACACUCUUACUUAUAGAAAGGACUACGAUAGAUCCCCUAUACUUGUGGGUCAUCAAGACUCUUUUCUAGCGCCGUUGCCGGGGAGUGAAGCGCCUUUGGUUAGUGGAACUUGGUAAGGAAAAAUUUAUAUAGUGUGCUGAAAUUUACUGUCACUUGUUACUAUGGAAAGUAAUCCUUUGAGGGGCUUGUUCGGGGUAUCUUCACCCUGUCCAGAAGAGCAAAGAUUUGCUCCUCAACCUACUGAACCUUCUGAAAAUGUUUGCUUUGAAAUUCCUUCGGGUAUGUUAGAGAAACUGCUAGCUAAUCCUUUUGCAGGAGAUGGAACAAUGCAUCCCGAUUUACACCUAAUCUAUGUGGAUGAAGUUUGUGGAUUAUUUAAGCUUGCAGGUAUACCCGAUAAUGUUAUUAAGAGGAAGGUUUUCCCUUUAUCUUUGGAGGGAGACGCAUUGACAUGGUACAGGCUAUGUGAUGAUACGGGAUCUUGGGACUAUAAACGAUUGAAAUUGGAAUUUCACCAGAAGUUUUAUCCUAUGCAUCUUGUUCAUCGUGAUCGCAAUUAUAUAUAUAAUUUUUGGCCUCGUGAUGGAGAAAGCAUCGCUCAAGCUUGGGGGAGGCUUAAAUCAAUGUUAUAUUCAUGCCUGAAAGCACAAGUGCUCCCUGGGUGGUUUUGGUAAUUAAUGUCAACAUAUCUCUUGUUGGACUAACACUUUUACCUAGUAUGUUUCAGAGAAGUUCAACAAUGGAGUGGCAUGGACAAGAGGAUGUGGAACCCCUUCAAGAUGAUAAGGACAAAGGAUUGGCUCAAGCUUCAAGAUCAAGACUCUACAUUUUCUAUUUUAGUGAUCCAAGAUCACAUUGAGUCUAUAGGAAGGUGUUGCUUAAUGGCUUGCUUGCUCAAAGUGCUUAGUGAUAUGCUCCAAAACCCUCAACUACCUUCCCGCAUCCACAUAUGACCUAAACCAAAAGUCAAACUCGGCCCCACCGAUUCUUUCUAUCCGGUGCCACCGAGUUUCAGAUGUCAUAGCCACUGCCACAAACCCUAGGCAAAUCGGUUUCAUUGAUAGGGAUCUCGGUCUCACCGAGAUGGGAUUGUAAUCUCUCUAUGUAUGUCCAUUACCAAAUCGGUCUCACCGAGUUUGAGUAAUCGGUACUACCCGGUCGAAGCGUACGUAGCGUUCUCAUUCUGGUCGGGAACGUGUGCGUACAUACUGGUCGAUCGGUCUAUCUGCAGGCUGCAGCGAUGAACCGUGGCCGUGUAAGGAAGGGCACGUGUGGUAGUAGAGGCGCGCACGUGUGGUAGUAGAGGCGCGCACGUAGCAUGUACACGUACGUACAGCGGCCAGGGUGCAAGAAAGUAAAUACGGCCACAUAUGUACAUAUGGGCGGGGUCUCGAACGCCUACUCGCGCAUACGUACGGCCAGGGCUCGUGUACAUGGCUGUGACUAGGUCAGAACGGAGAAACUGCGUCGUCAUCGUGUUCAUGGGGAGGCAACGGAAUGCAUCGUGUUCAAAGGGAGGCAACGGAACGUGUGCUGUUCAUUGGGAGCCAACCGGCUUGGACGGAACAGGCGAUGGAAACGAGGCCUGGCGUACCGCAGAAUGGAGGAAACGGCCUUGUGUUCGACCGACCAUGGUGGAAACGGGAUCCUGUUCAUCGGGAGGGGUUUUGCGUACCGCAAAAUGGAGGAAACGAACCUCCUACGGUCGAAACGGGGUCCUGUUGAUUGGGAGGGGUGUGGCGUACCGCAAAAUGGAAGAAAUGGACUUGUGUUGGAGCGCUACGGUCGAAACGGGGGUCCUGUUCAUCGGGAGGGGCGUGGCAUACCGCAAAACGGGACUCCACGGGAUACUGCUCAUCUCCACCGUCGACCUCCUCCAGCCUUCACGGGCUACUGUUCAUCCACCGUCGACCUCCUCCAGCCUCCACCUACGACUGUUCAUCCACGGGCUCCUGUUCAUCCAGCCUCCAUCGCGCGCUCCUCCAUCGGCUACUGUUCAACCAGCCCUCUCCACGGGGGUCCUAUUAAACCACCCCUCCACGGGUUACUAUUCAUCCAACCCUCCACUGGCUACUGUUCAACCAACCCUCCACCGGCUACUGUUCAACCAGCCCUCCACGGGGUCCUGUUCAUCCAGCCCUCCACGGGGUCCUGUUCAUCCACCGACUCGAUCGAUCGGGGUACUGUUCAUCCAGCAGCAACGACCUCUACUACCACGGGUUCCUGUUCAUCCAAACCCCCCAACAAUGCUCACUCUUCAUCCAGAGGCAACAUCGAUCAGCUUCAGUUAGCAGCAGUAGCGAAGGAAUCGCUUGAUCGGGUUCAGUUAACAGCCAUCGAUCAAUCGCUCGGGUUCAGUAACGCGUAGCCUGCAGUGCAAUCGCUCGGGUUCAGUUAGAGCCCAACACCUCGCUCGGGUUUAGUUAGAGCGCAACGCCUCGCACACACGGGCGUACGUACGAGAGAAACGCGCAUCGCUCGGCCCCGGACCACCCACCGUAACCGGGAAAUCCCCCGAUAUUUUCCUCGCCUCGCUUCUACCACGGUUUUCUCCGUCAUGGACGGCCCAAAGAAUGUCAUGCAGCUGCGUCUCUGGACCGCCCAGGACGAAAAGCCCAUUUUCUGUCAUGAUUUUUUGUCAUAGAAGUAGGAGCCCACCACAUCUAUGAUGAUACCGGGUUUUGUCACAAUUAUCAUCAUAGAAGUGUCAUAAGCAUGAUAGGAAAAAAAUUCGUUCGGCCCAAAAUGUCAUGGAUGUGUCUUUUUUUGUAGUGAUACCUACCUAUUAUGGCAUUUCCAUAGCCAUUCCAAGAUAUAUUGCCAUGCAACUUUCUACCAUUCCGUUUAUUACGACAUGUUCCAUCAUUAUCAUAUUGCUUUGCAUGAUCAUGUAGUGGACAUCAUAUUUGUGGCAAAGCCACCCUUCAUAAUUUUUCAUACAUGUCACUCUUGAUUCAUUGCACAUCCCGAUACACCGCCGGAGGCAUUCAUAUAGAGUCUAUUUUUUUCUAGGUAUUGAGUUGUAAAUAAAUAGAAGUGUGAUGAUCUUCAUUAUUAGAGCAUUGUCCCGUGUGAGGAAAUAAAAAAAGAGGCCAAAAGAGUCUCCAAAAAAAAGAGAAAGAGUCUCCAAAAAAAGAAGGGAGUCUCUAAAAAAAGAGAGAAAAAGAGAGAAGGGACAAUGUUACCAUCCUUUUUUCCACACUUGUGCUUCAAAGUAGCACCAUGAUCUUCAUUAUAGAGAGUCUCUUCUUUUGUCACUUUCAUAUACUAGUGGGAAUUUUCGUUAUAGAACUUGGCUUGUAUAUUCCAACGAUGGGCUUCCUCAAAUGCCCUAGGUCUUCGUGAGCAAGCAAGUUGGAUGCACACCCACUUAGUUUCUUUUGUUGAGCUUUCAUACAUUUAUAGCUCUAGUGCAUCCAUUGCAUGGCAAUCCCUACUCACUCACAUUGAUAUCUAUUGAUGGACAUCUCCAUAGCCCAUUAAUAUGCCUAGUUGAUGUGAGACCGUCUUCCUCCUUUUUGUCUUCUCCACAACCACCAUUCUAUUUCACCUAUAGUGCUAUGUCCAUGGCUCACGCUCAUGUAUUGCGUGAAAGUUGAAUUUUUUUGAAAAUACUAAAGUAUGAAACAAUUGCUUGGCUAAAACCGGGGUUGUGCUUGAUUUGAAUAUUUUGUGUGACAAAGACGGAGCAUGGCCAAACUAUAUGAUUUUGUAGGGAUGAACUUUCUUUGGCCAUGUUAUUUUGAGAAGACAUGAUUACUUUGUUAGUAUGCUUGAAUUAUUAUUAUUUUUAUGUCAAUAUUAAACUUUUGUCUUGAAUCUUUCGGAUCUGAACAUUCGUGCCACAAUAAAGAAAAUUACAUUGAUAAAUAUGUUAGGUAGCAUUCCACAUCAAAAAUUCUAUUUUUAUCAUUUACCUACUCGAGGACGAACAGGAAUUAAGCUUGCGGAUGCUUGAUACGUCUCCAAUGUAUCUAUAAUUUUUUAUUGUUCCAUGCUAUUAUAUUAUCUGUUUUGGAUGUUUAAUGGGCUUUACUAUACUCUUUUAUAUCAUUUUUUGGACUAACCUAUUAAACGAAGGCCCAGUGCCAGUUUUUGUUUUUUGCCUAUUUCAGUGUUUUGCAGAAAAGGAAUAUCAAACGGAAUCCAAAUGGAAUGAAACCUUCGCGAUGAUAUUUCUUGGAACAAACGCAAUCCAGAAGACUUGGAGUUGAAGUCUGGAACUCCGCGAUGCGGCCACGAGGCAGGAGGGAGCGCCCAGGGGGUAGGCACGCCCCCACCCUCGUGGGCCCCACGAAGCUCCAUCGACAUACUUCUUUCGCCUAUAUAUACUCUUAUACCCUAAAAACAUCAGGGGGAGCCACAAAACCACUUUUCCACCGCCGUAACCUUCUGUACCAGUGAGAUCCCAUCUUGGGGCCUCUUCCGGUGCUCUGCCGGAGGGGGAAUCGAUCACGGGGGACUUCUACAUCAACACCAUAGCCUCUCCGAUGAAGCAUGAGUAGUUUACCACAGACCUUCAGGUCAAUGGUUAUUAGCUAGAUGGCUUCUUCUCUCUCUUUGAUUCUCAAUACAAAGUUCUCCAUGAUGUUCUUCGAGAUCUAUUCGAUGUAAUACUCUUUUGCGGUGUGUUUGCCGAGAUCCGAUGAAUUGUGGAUUUAUGAUCAAGUUUAUCUAUGAAUAUUAUUUGGUUCUUCUCUGAAUUCUUAUAUCCAUGCUUUGAUAUCUUUGCAAGUCUCUUCGAAUUAUCAGUUUAGUUUGGCCUAAUAGAUUGAUCUUUCUUGCAAUGGGAGAAGUGCUUAGCUUUCGGUUCAAUCGUUCGGUGUCCUUUCCCAGUGACAGUAGGGGCAGCAAGGCAUGUAUAGUAUUGUUUCCAUCAAGGAUAAAAGAUGGGGUUUAUAUCAUAUUGCUUGAGUUUAUCCCUCUACAUCAUGUCAUCUUGCUUAAUGCGUUACUCUGUUCUUAUGAACUUAAUACUCUAGAUGCAUGCUGGAUAGCGGUCGAUGUGUGGAGUAAUAGUAGUAGAUGCAGAAUCGUUUCGGUCUACUUGACACGGACGUGAUGCCUAUAUUCAUGAUCAUUUCCUAGAUAUUCUCAUAACUAUGCGCUUUUCUAUCAAUUGCUCGGCAGUAAUUUGUUCACCCACCGUAAUACAUGCUAUCUUGAGAGAAGCCACUAGUGAAACCUAUGCCCCCUGGUCUAUUUUCCAUCAUAUAAUCUUCUAUUUUACAUCAUAUAAGUUUCCGAUCUACAAUUCUAGUUUCCUAUUUGUUUUAUGUUGCAAUCUUUACUUUCCAAUCUAUACAACAAAAAUACCAAAAAUAUUUACUUUACUAUCUCUAUUAGAUCUCACUUUUGCGAGUGAGUGUGAAGGGAUUGACAACCCCUUUAUCGCAUUGGUUGCAAGGUUCUUGAUUGUUUGUGAAGGUACUAGGUGACUUGCAUGUUAUCUCCUACUGGAUUAAUACCUUGGUUCUCAAAAACUAAGGGAAAUACUUACGCUACCUUGCUGCAUCACCCUUUCCCUCUUCAAAGGAAAACCAACGCAUGCUCAAGAGGUAGCAGGCAGCCGAUCGUCCCCUAUCGAUUCACCUCCAAUUGUUGGUGACUCGGGAAUCAAUUCAUACUCCAUUAGUGGAGUAGUUGUAACCAAGGAAAAAAUAGCGCUUACAACAAAAUAGCGGCAGCCUCAGAAUACGCUAUUAGCGUGCUAUAUCGUGUUAUAGCAUGCUAUUAGUGAGACGUUGUACACUAAUUUAUUUAGCGAGACAAUUCUCAAUACGCUAUAGCGUGCUAUUAGCAAUGUUAUAGCGCGCUAUUUUUUCAGUGGUUGUAAUGGGCCAUUAGUGGCAAAUAAAUGGGGUGCACUCACUAGCGGCCCAUAAUUGGAGGUCAGUUACAAUAUGGAUUUAUCAUAUCUAUAUAAUCUACAUUGUCCAGCUUCUCCUUACACAAAUCCUUUGGCGGACCGGCAUGGCUGACACUCAGAUCAAUAAUUAGUCUCCCCACUCCUGGCCUUCCACAAGUGUGCCCUCGUUCGUACCUCAACUCUCUCUCAAAUUCGGCAUGGAUUUUCCAAUUGAUGUUAUUCUUUGUGCUCUCAAAUGAAUGCAGGUUUCAUUGUGUUCCACGGGGUUCACUGGAUUGGCUCAUUCUGCUACGUAAGUAAGUUGCAACGUGAGGCACUACUUUCACCUUCAAUCAUUUCUUGCUUGACUAUAUUAUUCAUGAAUUCCACCAUCUUUGCAACCCAAGGUGGUAAUGGUUAAAUUUUUUGGUGUGGUCUAAUAUUCUUUUGUGCUUCUCUAUUGCAGAUAAAGCAGAUGUACUCAAACUUAUAAUUUUGAUUCUGCUUCUACAGCAAUUUUGAUAUAUACACAGUGUGUGUUUCAUAAUUGGUAUGAACGUGUGUGUUUUAUGCAAACAUAAUUCGAAAUGAAUGCAUGGGCCAUUGUAGGAUGAAUUUGAGCCCGGUACUGCUUUGUUUGCUGCUUCUACCGGGUAGUAUUCUUCCUUACAGCAGAUUUCAUGGAACUCCAAUGGCUAAUGGACAAGUUAUUAUCUAUGCACUGUUAUGCCUCAUGUUAAUUAUCUUGCAACGUGAUUUCAUAUGUUUGGUACUCUGGAGUAAUUGCUCUAGGUGGAACUGGCUAUUCUAAGUCACCACUCCAUUCUUGAUUCCAAUCAUGUAUGUGAUAAUCUCCAUGAAAUCGAAAGAGUGGAUUGAAAACAAUUGUUCUACUGAAGUAUCAUGCUUUUGAGCCAACUCCUACCCUAUGUUUUCACGGGUUCCACCUGCUAUUGUCGGAUGCACAAGGACCAAAUGGCAUGCAGCGAUGUCCAUCUGCAGUAGCUCAUUGAACGUGACAGGAUCCAAUUGGUAUACUCAAACCACCAAGAUGACCGGUUAAUUUGGGAGCUGGCCAAUCAUGUGUAGCAGCCCUUAAGAUAACUACUGCUAUAUUAUUACUGAAGUCUGUAGUCGGGUGACUUCCAAAAAUGCGAUGUUACACUCCUAUAAUCUAGUGUCUUCCUCUCUACUUAUAUGGGUAACAUAUGCGAACAUGUUUAAUUGUUGGUCUAAAAAAGUUUCAGUUGAUUAUAACUGCUACUUCAUCAUAUGACAAAAAUGGCAUUUGCUAGGAUUUCAUCAAUGCUAUUGUAUAUUGGGAUUUUCAUGUUAAGUUUUGGGAUGCUACUAUCAAGUUAUGCAUUUUGUGCCUGUAGUAGUACAAUCUCCUCGAAUAUCAGCUUGUGGUGUUCCCCUACUGGUAACUUUAUUGCUACAAGCUAUCUCUGCAUCAAAGAUUGUUCUCCCUCACUUGGAUGCCAACAAAUCAUGUCAUCAUCUUCAAAUAUAUACAAACAAAGUAGUUUAAGUGCAAAACACUUGAAUUUUAUAGAUUAGUAUUAUUUAUCCAUAAAAGGUUCAAGGUUUUUACGUGAGUUAGUUUUUUUGUACAAAAGUUGGAUCUCGGGCUGUCAACAUUGUCCAAUUUCAUGCUUAUAUAAAAAAUAUAUUCUUACAGAAUAAUUUUCUUAUAGGAUAAUUAUCUUAUAGCUUAGAUUUCAGGCUUUCGAUAUUGUUUAAUUUUAUGCAUAAAUUCAUGUGCUAGAUGAAAUUUCAGUCGAACGACACCUUUGAUGCCAUCAACAAUUCUAGCCAGCGAUCACUUGCAUUGCUCCUGAAGCGUACCAAUUAUUACGUCAUGCUAGCUAUAUCACCUUGAUGUUUCAUUGUUCAUGAAAGGAACCAAUUUAAUCUUCAUGUUUUGCCCUCAGGCCGGGCAAUUUUUCUAAAUACCAACCAUUUUAUUGUAAAAAUGUACGGGCGCAGCAACGCGCGCUAUCAAUGAUCUAGUUAUAUUAUCAACCUUGGGUGUUUUAUAUGCAUUAAUAUGCUAUUUUAUAUUAUUUUUGGGACUAACCUAUUAACCUAGUGCCUAGUGCCAGUUUAUGUUUUUUCCUUGUUUUUGGCUUUCGCAAAAAAGGAAUAUCAAACGGAAUAAAACUUUACAAUGAUUUUUCUUGGCCCAGCAGACACCUACGAGACUUGGAGUGGGGGCCAAGGGACCCACGAGGAAACAACAAGCCGUAGGGGCGCGCCCCUUGGGCUUGUGGCCCCCUCGGGGGUCCCAUGCAUCGCCUCUUUUGCCUAUAAAUUCCCAAAUAUUCCAGAAACCCUAGUGGAGUCACCAGAAAUACUUUUCCACUAUCGUACGUCUUUGUUCCCAUGAGAUCCAAUCUUGGGGCCUUUUCCGGUACUCAGUCAGAGGGGGAUUCGAUCACGGAGGGCUUCUACAUCAACCUUGCUAACCUUCCGAUGAUGUGUGAGUAGUUUACUAUAGACCUAUGGGUCCAUAGCUAGUAGCUAGAUGGCUUCUUCUCUCUCUUUGAUCUUCAAUACAAUGUUCUCCUCGAGGUUCUUGGAGAUCUAUUCAAUGUAAUCUUCUUUUGCGGUGUGUUUGUUGAUAUCCAAUGAAUAUUAUUUGAGUCUUCUCUGAACUCUUUUAUGCAUGAUUAAGAUAGCUUUGUAUUUCUUUCCGAUCUAUCGAUUUGGUUUGGCCAAAUAGAUUGGGUUUUCUUGCAAUGAGAGAGGUGCUUAGUGAUGGGUUCAAUCUUGCGGUGUCCUCACCCAGUGAUAGAAGGGGUAGCGAGGCACGUAUUGUAUUGUUGCCAUUAAGGAUGAAAAGAUGGGUUUUAUAUCAUAUUGCUUGAGUUUAUCCCUCUACAUCAUGUCAUCUUGCUUAAGGCAUUACUCUGUUCUUAUGAACUUAAUACUCUAGAUGUAUGCUGGAUAGCGGUCGAUGUGUGUAGUAGUAGUAGUCGAUGCAGGCAGGAAUCAGUCUACUUGUCACGGACAUGAUGCCUAUAUUCAUGAUUAUUGCCUUGGAUGUCGUCAUAACUAUGCACUUUUCUAUCAAUUGCUCAACAGUAAUUUGUUCACCCACCGUAUGCUUUCUUCGAGAGAGAAGCCUUUAGUGAAACCGAUGGCCCCUGGGUCUACUUUCCAUCAUAUAUUUUCAGAUAUAUAAAACCAAAAACCCAAAAAUACCUUGCUGCAAUUAUUUUGUGUUCACUUUAUUUUUCCUUUUACUUUUAGUUUAAAUCUAUCUCUAUUAGAUCUCACUCUUGCAAGUAACCGUGAAGGGAUUGACAACCCCUUUUUCGUGUUGUGUGCAAGUGUUUGUUAGUUUGUGCAGGUGCAUAUAUUGGAGACUUGCUUGUGCCUCCUACUGGAUUGAUACCUUGGUUCUUAACCGAGGGAAAUACUUAUCUACUACUUUGCUGCAUCACCCUAUCCUCUUAAAGGGAAAAAUUAACGCAAGCUCAAGAAGUAGCAAGAAGGAUUUCUGGCACCGUUGCCGGGGAGGUUCUACAUCAAGCCUACCAAGUACUUGUCAUAAAUCUAAUCUCUUGCACUUACAUUAUUUGCCAUUUACCUCCCGUUUUCAUCUCCCCCACUUCUAAAAUGUUUUGAGAAAAACACAAAAAUAUUUGCCUUUUUAUUCUCCCUUUCUUCGUUCGUCUUUUUGUUUGCUUGUGUGCUAGAUCGCUUGCUUUGUCACAAUGACCCAAGAGAAUACUAAGUUGUGUGACUUUUCCAACACUAAUAAUAGUGAUUUUUUUAGUACUCCGAUUGCUCCCGCCACUAGUGCGGAAUCUUAUGAAAUCAAUGCCGCUUUAUUGAAUCUUGGUAUGAAAGAACAAUUUUUUGGUAGUCCUAAUGAAGGUGGUGCAUCCCAUCUAAAUUUUUUUGUUGCAUUGUGUGAUAUGCAAAAUAAAAAUAUGUGGAUAAUGGUAUCAUUAAAUUGAAGCUUUUUCUGUUCUCAUUACGAGAUCGUGCUAAAACUUGGUUUUCAUCUUUGCCUAAAAAUAGUAUUGAUUGAUGGAAUAAGUGUAAAUAUGCCUUUAUUUCCAUGUAUUUUCCUCCCACUAAGAUCAUCUCCCUUAGGAACGAUAUAAUGAAUUUUGAGCAACUAGAUCAUGAGCAUGUUGCACAAUCAUGGGAAAGGAUGAAACUAAUGAUAAGAAAUUUCCCUACUCAUGGUUUAAGUUUAUGGAUGAUCAUACAAAAAAUUUAUGCCGGAUUGAAUUUUGCAUCUAGAAAUCUUUGAGAUACCGCCGCGGGAGGUACUUUCAUGGAAAUCAAAUUAGGAUAAGAUACUAAACUCCUAGAUAAUAUUAUGGAAAAUUACUCUCAAUGGCAUACCGAAAGAUCAUGUACUAGUAAAAAAAGUGCAUGCAAUUGAAGAAAUAAAUGUUUUGAGUGCAAAGAUGGAUGAUCUUAUGAAAUUAAUUGCUAGCAAAGGUGCUCCUAUAGACCCUAAUGAUAUGCCUUUGUCUACUUUGCCUGAGAAUAAUAAUGAAUCUAUGGAUGUGAAUUUUGUUGGUAGGAACAAUUUGGUAAUAACGCGUAUAGAGGUAAUUUCAACCCUAGGCCGUUUCCUAGUAAUUCCUCUAAUAAUUAUGGUAAUUCUACAACAAUUUUUUUGGAAAUUAUAAUAAGAUGCCCUCUGAUCUUGAGAAUAAUAUUAAGUAUUUUAUAAACUCCCAAAAGAGUUUCAAUGCUAUGGUAGAAGAAAAAUUGCUUAAUAUUAAUGAUUUGGCUAUAAACGUUGAUAGAAUUUCUCAUGAGAUUGAUUCUUUAAAAAUUAGAUCUAUGCCACCAAAGCAUGAUAUUAAUGAUUCUCUGAAAGUUAUGCAAAUUUCUAUUAAUGAGAGUAGAGAGAGCGGCUAGGUUGCAUGCUAAAAAAGAAUUGUUAGAAAAAACAUGUUCUUCUAGUUUUUGCGGUAACAAUGAUGAAGAUCUUAAGAUGCUUGGUUUGACUCCUAUUUAAUCUUUGUUUGCUAAUAUAGAUCUUAAAAAUAAGGGACUGGUGAUGAUUCAACUUUAGAUAAAAGGCGUCCCGAUAAUUUGGAGAAUAAAGAUCUUAACGAAAAAAGUGAUAAAAUGGGAUUGGAGAGGUCAAAACUUUAGCAAGCAAUGAACCCACUAUUUUGGAUCUCAAGGAUUUUAAUUAUGACUAUCACACAUGCCCGUGCGUUGCAACGGAAGAAAAUAAAUUGAAAUGCCCCCAAUGAACAUCAAAACAUGUUCAAGACCCCACAUAUCCAUGUCCGUUCUUUGAAAGUGGGAACAUGAGUGAAACUGGGUGGAUAGGGGAUAGAAGAUCGACAAGUAGAAAAACAUUCCUCAUUUUACUAUCAUUGCUAACAAAAUGAGCUAUAGAUAAAAUUGUACAGUAUUCUAAAUAAGUGUAUAGCUACAAAGAAAAUGAUCAUAUAUAGUAGAAUGCGUACAUUAUCUAGCCAACCAUUUUGUAAUGAUAUGUUCACAAACUUAAUUGUAUUAUUACUGGCUCGUGUAUCAUUCUCUCCCAUAGAAAUCAUACAAUAAAAGCUUCAGAACGCAAAUGACCAACAUACUCUGAAUCAGUUCUCAUACACACACUCUAUAAUAUAAAUUCAGACCAUAUACUUUUAGCUUCUACGACAAAGAAAUUGAAGCAAGGAAUGUUGCGUUGGUCAGUUCGUCCAUGAGAAAAUGCAGUUGAAGGCCUCCAUCCUAAAAGCCGAGACCAGAACCGUCAUCUUGUCGUGGUCGCUGUGUAACCGGAAGAAGGAGCUCACGCUGAGCAACCACAAGUUGGUGGCUGCCACGUUAUAUUCGGCAGAUCGUUGGCUGAGGUCGAGAGCCUUGACAGUGUCUGAGCAGAGGGCGAGCGCGUGCGCAGCAUAUGUAUGCAGACUCCUCAGCAAAAUUGGAAAAAAAACUCAACUUUGUCAGCCCGGCGAAAGGGCCAGGUUAGUUCAAAAUGUGCCACUUGCUGGUGUAAAAACAUGGAGCAAUGACGCAUGUAUGCUCAGGAAGCUAUCUAUAACAUUGUAAUGGGAUUAAAAUUAGCUAGCUAGUAUCGUAUUUCUGCAAACUUGUCAUCUUAAUUAUGCAAAAACAAAAAUCUGAAGCUAGCUGAGCAUAAAUGGUUUGGUGCCCCUUGGGUUGUUUUCUUGUCCUAACAUAACAUGGAGGAGGUACCAAGGGUUCAACAUUGAGCUUUGAUUUACCUCCAUUAUCCCCGAGAUACUGGUGUUUGUGAUGAACUAAAUAGACAAUUUGUUGUGCUGGGAUGAUUCAUGAUGGAUUGAUAAGAUGAGCUUCGCAACAACUACCAUCAUGCAUGAGCAUGGGUAAAAUCCAAAAUUUCCCAAAGCAGCCAUGUUUUUAUGUGUAUUCUGUUGCUUAUUUCCCUCUGAAAAUUGACAAAACAUCCACACUUCUAGUCUUAUAUCCCUAUGAAAAUCUAUUAAACAUACACAAAUCUGCUUUUGGAGUAAGAAAUUAUAACCCAUAAAUAAGAAAAUUUUAACUUAAUUAGUUUUACCAAUCUACAUAACAAAAUUUGAUUUAUCCACUACCGAUUGACUGUAACAAGACAAAAAAUCAAGUCGCACACUCACACCUCAAAUCUUGAGGCAUGCGCAAUCUGUUGAAGCCUCAAACAUAGAACCAUAUCAUGUGAAUUUCCAACAAAAAAUUAGGACUCCAUUUUCCUGUUUGAUCCUUACCAGUUUAUUAGUUACGUAUCUAUCAAUUCCAUGAUCUUCCACAAUGCGUCAAACCGCUUCAUAACUCCUGUCGGUCCCUCGAGGUGGAAAUUUUCACGCUGAGAUGCAACAGAAUUUAUAUCAUGCAUUAAGUCAUGCAAAAAUACCAACCUAACAUAUGCCAGUAUAGUUUGACAUAGAUACAAAUUACCAUCCUUCUCAGUAGCAUCUCAAAACACCAAAAGGCAUCUACAUCAUCCUCGUAUAGAACAACAAAAGGGGAAACCAGAUCGCUCAUACCUACAAUCAAUUUGUACCAUUUAGGCAGUUUAAAUAAUUAAAGCAAAAUGAUGCAAUACUCCAUUGAAAUGCAAACCUUGACAGUAUCCAGGGGAGGGAUCAACCCAUGCAUAAAAUGGAAAUAUAUCUGACAAACCUUCAUGGAAGCCGCCGCUUGAACCCCACGGAGCCGUUCGUCGCCAGCCCCUCCAGAAUCGCCAGAUCCAGCCGCCUCCACUCCAUUCUCGGUGUCGGGCCUCGAGAGCUCCUCCCCUCAUCCUCCUACAUCGACUCGAGCCGCCAUGGACGGCCGCUGCAUCCGCGUUGACUGCGGGCGAACGCGCGCGUCUGACGCAUAUGGACCUGCCUCCGUGCCUCCCCUCAUGCUCCUCCUCUCGUUCGCCAUGUGCUCGCCGCCGUCGUCCUGCUCCCGAUCGAAUAGGGAGCGCCGCCGCUCGAUCUGCAGCGCAAAAAGAAUAUCGAACAGUUUUUUCUUAACUCAAAUAUAGUUCACACGGGUUAAUUUAUUAUUUCAUGUGCACAUAUUGAUCAAUUUUUUUCACGAAUACGCAAAGAUUGCGUAUCAUUGCAUUGAUAGGAGGGGGUUGAAAGUACAUAGAGACAUGCCGACAAUGGCCACGCGUACACAGGUCGGCGCGGGCACAAGUGGUCGGAGCAGCUAGGAGAGGGGCUGCUCAACCCUCAUUACAAAAAAGCUAAGCCUAAAUCUCAGGAAUCAGGUUCGCCAAGCCGUUGGCACCGGCACAAGCCCAUAGGCGAGUGUCUUCUUGAAUGGAUUGCAGCAGAGUUGCGAUCGAGGGUUGCCGCUGAUCGAACACGCAUCCAUUCCGGUGUCUCCAGAUGGCCCAAGCGGUGAGGGCGAUGAUGGAGCAGAGUCCCUUCCGCAGCGCCGAGGGUGAUGAAGUGCAAGCAUCCAUCCACCAGUCCGCAAACGUUGUGUCGGGGUUGGGGAUCAUGGCAGUCGAUCGGCACCAAGAAAGGACCUCAUGCCAAAUUUGGCGGGAGAAGGGGCAGGAGGUGAACAAGUGGUGCAUGUCCUUAGUGGUCUGGUCGCACAGCACGCAACUGUCAUUGUGGGGCAGUCCUCGCCGGGCAAGGCGGUCGGCCUUCCAACAUUGGUCUUGUAGGGCAAGCCAGAUGAAGAUCUUGAUGCGUAAGGGGGCCCAAGUCUUCCAGGUGAGCUUCCAGCAUGCGUCGAUCGUGGAUCCGUGAAAGAGCGCAAGGUAGCAGGAUUUGGCGGAAUAGACGCCGGACUCCGUCCACUUCCAUCGCAGCACAUCAGGCCCAGCCGAGAGGGUAGCGCUUUGGAGCAUGCGCCAGAGCUCGACAUACUGGAUCAGGGCUGCCGGGCCAAGCGCGCCGGCAAUGUCGCACACCCAGGCGCGACCAGGAAGCCCCUCGGCCACCGUGCGAUCGCGACGAUGUCGUCUGGAGACCAGGGAGAACAUGAGGGGGGCAAGCUCGAGGAUGGCCUUGCCAUCGAUCCAAGGGUCAGUCUAGAACCUGCAGGUGCCACCAUCACGCACCUCCCAAGAGGUGGAGGCCCUGAAAAUCUGCGAGGCCGCAGGGUCAUGGGGGAGGUGCAGAUGACUCCAGGGGCGCGAAGCAUCAGUACGCUGGAGCCAGAGCCAUCGGGUGCGCAAGGCGACGCUGGCGCGCUGUAGGUCGCGUAUCCCCAAGCCGCCGAGGAAGGUGGGGUGACACACCCGAGCCCAGUUCACUCGGCAUUGCCCUCCGCGCGCGUCCUUGCGGCCAACCCAAAGGAAGCUUCGGAUGAUCCGGUUGACCCGAGCAAGGAUGGACUUGUUGACAGCAAUGGCGAUGAGGAUGUGGAUGGGCAUGGCGCAGAGAACGUGCCGACAGAGCGCGAGGCGAUCCCCCAAGGAGAGCAUGGAUCCCAGCCAGGUAGAGAGCUUCCUCUCGAGCUUGUCGACGAGGGGUAAAAGGUCGACAGUCGAGGGCUUACGGAGGGAAAGCGGGAGGCCGAGGUACUUCACCGGAAAGUAAGAGAUCGGGCAGGCCAUCUCAGAUGUGAUCAUGGCGACGUGCCCCUCGUCGCAGCGAAUGGGGGAGGCCGAGAACUUGGCGAUGUUCGUGCAGAGCCCGGAUGCCUUGCCGAAGACAUCCAGAAUGCGGCGAAUGGCGUGGAUGUCAUGGGUGUCGGGGUGGCUAAAGAUAACAAUGUCGUCGGCGUAGAGGGAGACGCUCGAAGGCAUGUGCUGCACGGUCAGUCGCUGUAGGAGGCCGCGCUCGACGGCUCGUUGAAGGAGCGAGUUGAGCACGUCGAUGAUGAUGACGAAGAGCAUAGGGGAAAUGGGGUCCCCUUGCCGUAGCCUGCACGUGUGAAGAAUUGGUGGCCCGGGGACACCAUUGACAAGCACACGCGUCGAUGCGGUAGAGAGCAGGAUGGAGAUCCAUUCGCACCACCGGUCUCCAAAGCCUAGGUGCUUGAGCGUGUCAAGCAGAAAGGGCCAUGCCACCGAGUCAAAAGCCCUUGUGAUGUCGAGCUUGAGGAGCAUUCGCGGCAUUUUGAGGUUGUGAAGAAGUCUGGCCGUCUGUUGAACAAGGAGGAAGUUGUCAUGAAUGCUUCGGCCGACGAUGAAUGCGCUUUGAUUGGAAGAAACCAUCUUGCCCAGGUGGGCGCCAGCCGAAGAGAGAGCGCCUUCGCGAACAGCUUCGCAAUGAGAUGGAUGAGGCUAAUGGGGCGAUAGUCGAAGAGAGAUGCCGCGUCCUGCUUCUUCGGAAGGAGGGUGAGGAGCGCCUCAUUGAGCCUCUGGAAACCCUGUCCGUUGAGUGCGUAUAGCUUAUCGAAGACGGCACAGAUGUCCUGCUUGAUCACGUCCCACGCACUCCGGAGGAAUUCGGCGGUGAAGCCAUCGGGACCGGGCGCCUUCCCGAGUGGCAAGCUUUUUACCGCAGCCCAGAUCUCAUCCUCUGAGAAAGGUGUGUCGAGGCUGGAGAGGUCAAAUGGCCCAACGUGGAGCACAGAGAGGUCUAAGGAGAAAGGCCGUGGCUUCGCCGAUCCAAGGAUGCCGCAGAAGUGAUCGAACGCAGCCUCAGUGAGAGCGGCCAGGUCAGAGAUGGAAGUGUCUCCGACCUACAACUCGACGAUCCGGUUCUUCAUCUUGCGGUGUGCUGCAUGCACUCUGAAGAACUUCGGACCCGCGUCGCCGUCUCGCAACCAGGAAAGCCUAACGCGCUGGCGCGAGAUCGAGCGCUCGAGCGACGCCGGCCCUAGGUACACCCCUUUGAGGUGCCUGCGUAGCCAGGCCUCGGCCGCGGAAAGGGGCCGGAAGUCUGGCGCCGCAUCCAGGCGCGCGAUCAGCUCACGAGCGACAAGGAGCUGCCGGGACACGUCCCCAAUCUUCUUCGCGCUCCAGCUUUGGAGACGCCGCGCAGUGUUCUUGAGGCGCGCCACCAGCCUACGGAAGGGGUCUGGCUCGUCGGCCGCAGCAGCCCAGGCCUCGAGCAUGACCUACGUGUAGCCAUCGGUGCGCGGCCAGAAUCUUUCGAAGUGGAAUCUUCGCGUGCCAGGCGAGUGCGCAGUGCAGUCGAGAAGGAGAGGUGCAUGAUCAGAUGCUGCGGAGGAGAGGCAGCGUAGCAUGCAAUGCGGAUGCAGAGCUUCCCAUGCGGAAUUGGAGAUCACCCGGUCAAUGCGCGUGAGGGUGGGGGUGCCGCGUUCGUUUAACCAAGUAUAUCGUCGCCCGUGCAGGUAGAUGUCACGCAGUUCCUUGUCAGCGAGGAAGCGGCGGAACCGCGACAUGACCCGGUGAUUGAGCCAGGAGUUAUUCUUGUCCGCAGCCCCAGAGAUCAUGUUAAAGUCAUCCCCAAGGAUCCAAGGGCCAGCUUGCAGUGAUCGGACCUCACUGAGGUCCCCGAGGAAAGCGAUCUUGUCAUCAUCACCUUGCGGGCCAUAAACGCCAGUGAGCCACCAGUGGUGGGCGCCAUCCAAGGAAGAGGACAGCGCGGUGAUGUGGUGGUCACCACGGUAUGGAUAGGAGAGCGCGAUCAUGUCCGGCCGCCAGGCAAGCAGGAUACCCCCACGGGUCCCAUCCGCGGGAAGGAAGAAGAACUCGGAGAAGGACGAGCCGAGCGUCUCAGCGACAAGCGAGGACGAGAGAGCAAUCAUCUUAGUCACUUGGAUGCAAACAAUACAAGGCGAGGCAGCGGUGAUCACGCUGCGAACGGCGGUGCGCUUGGUCGGGGCAUUAAGGCCACGCAUGUUCCAGAAUACAAUGCGAAGGUUGUGAUCCAUGGAGAGAGGUGGAGUCCUGCGGUGGCUUAGGCAGCCACUAGGCCUCGACCGCGCGAGGCAGGGGGGAGGGCGAGUUGACAGGCGGGUCGAUCAGCUCGGGGAUGCGCCAGCCGAAGAGAUCGGCGAAUGCCUGCAGCACGUCGUGCGCCAGUGGCUUCUGGAAGAGGCGCUCGUACGUCGCUAGCGUAGCAGCGGAGAUGGGGGUUGGGCGUCCGAGACGAGCUCGAGGCGACGGAGGAGCACCUUCUUGGCCUUGAGCUCAGAAUUGAGGCCGCAAUCAGCCUUGGCAAUCCUGCCGCUCCGACGGGGCGUGAAGUUCGGCGGUAACUCCUUCCUCCGGGAGCGGGAGGGGGGCGUAGGGAGAAUCUGCAAGAUCGGCCUCCGAAUGGAGUCUAAAAACGCGUCCACAGGCUCCACGUCGGCAUGCGCGCCACGUGGUGAGUCCGGGGCGGUUGCAUGGGAAGCAAGAUUCGCCGAGGGCAUGGGAUCUCUCGGGAUCAGAGCGGGCGAACUUUCCACAGCGGGAUCCGAGGCAGGGGAGGGGAGUGGCCCAAUGGCGGGGCAGCGCAGGGGGCCUGGUGGGUCCGCGCCUUGGCUAGACGACACCAGCUGUCCCGCAGAGGGAGGGGAGGAUGGCCCUCUUUCACAUUUCUCGGGAUCCGCCAGCGGGUUUGUCGCGGAUCCUGAUGGGGCCACGCAAAGCAACAACAGGCUAGGGGCGACCACUGGGGCGGGAUCAACCUGGGGUUGCGCGCCGGUCUCCAGCAGGUGUUCGGGUGGGUCAGGCGAUGCCACGUUAGCAAACGAUGGGGUGGUGGGCGCGGGAGCAGCGACCCGGUCAACAGGGUUGGGGUUUGAACUAGGCGCGCCAACGGGCGGGGACGGGGCGGGAUGGCCAGCUGUCACCGCGGCUUUCUGGAAAUCCGCCUUGCCCCCCCGGGCAGCUUUGUCGGGCCCCGCAUGACGCCAGCCACGACCGGCGGGUAUGGCCCGAGAACCCCAUGCCAGAUGCGCGAGACGGCGAGCGGGCGGUUGCGGCGGCGAACUCCACGGCGGCAACUGGAGCAGCCGGACUGGCGCGAGGGGCCGGUGAUAUCACGGUGUGGCGGCGCCGGAGGGUGAUCAUACUGGCGCGGCCAGGGCACAGGACAGGGUGGAGAGUCUUGGCCGGGGCCAGCGCCAUCGUCGGAGUCGGGGCCUGGAGAGACACGCGGCGGCGGAGGCGGCGGGGCGGGUCGACGGAAGUCCUCGCAGCGGGCCACAUGAAUCGCUACUGGGAAGCGCAGUAGGUCCAUGCCAAGGCGCUCGGCCACGUCCGGGUCUGUGUCGACGGCAACGCCAUCGCGCACCGGGAGGAAGAGGUCAGCGGCUAGCGGGAUCGCGUCAGGGUUGGCCGUCCAUGCCGAGAGCCGGAAGAUGUCCAGGUCGACGCCACGGCGAGUGCGCGGCUCGACGUGCUCCACCAGGCAGAACGGCGAGAGCAGCGCGACCACGGUGGCGCGGUGCCAGACAUGAUCGGGCACCCCGGUGAGCUCGAGGUGGACCCGGAAGCGGGCGCGCACCUGCUCCGCACCGGCAAGCGCGCUCCAUGGGUGAAGCAGCAGGCGUAAGCGGGCGGUGCGGACGCCGUCAUUUGCCACCAGGGCCCGAUCCUCCGCACGUAGGAAGCGGAUGAGGAAAUCCUCCGGCAGGUGGCGGUGAACCAAGAAGCGCACCUCCGGGAUGCCAAAACGCGAGCAAAUCACGUCGGAGACCUCCUGACAUGAGACCCCGGUCCUGCACCCCGCGACCGUGGCAAGCAACGCGCGCUGGAGCUCCUCCUCGGCGGCGUCGAUCUCCACGGAAAGAGGAAGGAAGCACGCGGGCGCAGCGGCUGGACGCAGCGAGGGGUGGCCGGUGAAGGGGCGCAGGGGGAGGCGGGCUGCGUAGCCUGGGAGGCACGGGGGGAGGGGACGGCAAGCCCGGAGGACACAGGCUGCCAAGACCCUUGGACGGACGUGGGCGAAGCCGAAGGCGAAGGCGCCGGGGAGGGCGAAGGCUGGGGCGGGGAAGGCCCACGGAGGCGCUUAGGCGACGGGCUGGAGCGCGAGGAGGGCGACGGCGAGCGCAGUUUCGUGCACAUGUGUGCCACAUGGCUUCCAAUCUAGUUAAUUGUACUGCUGGAUUUUGGUGGUCAUUCUGAAUGUACAGAUUUGUUGUGCGGAUCUCUGAACUAAUAUGGAUCUGUUGACGAACUAUAACUUAGCACUAUAUCUGGUUCUUGCUAUCAGUUUGAUUUUGGUCAUCCAAGUGGAUAUAUACACCAGUCAUGCAGCCACAGUCUGCACUAUUUGGUUAAUGAGAAAGGGAGGAGCACAACACUGACCCCAUCGCUAUCUCAGCCAGCUUCAGGUCCACCAUGGCCACCUACACCGAGCACCAUAUCACGUCUCCGAGCUUAGUUGUCGAUUCAUCUACACCAACCCAAUCACCACAAACAGGGAUAUAAUCAGAUCUAAUAAGAGAUAGCUCCAUGACCAUGAAGAAAGGACGAACCGUGGGAGCAGCCCGUAGGCGGCCGCGCUGGACCACAUCCACUCGUCCGCGUAUCCAAGAGCUAAUCAGGGCAAGGCGGUCGGUGCUGGGCGACCACAGCAACGGCCAUGUAACCGGGACACGAGGCGGAAGGAAUCGGUAGGCGGUGUGAUGCCCUGAUUCCCUCCGGCGUGUAGUCCGAUCUGUCCCCGUCAUCCCCGUUCCCUCCUCCGCCGCCUCCAGCUCCCUCUCCCACUUCUACUGGCUUCUCUGCCGCCUCCACCUUCCUUUCCUCCUCCUACCAGCUCCUCCGCUGUCUCCACCUCCCCCUCCUUGUCCUACCACCCGUUGCCCGUGGUGGCGCUGAGUGUGCCGAGCAGCCCAUCGCGGUCGGCGGCACGUGCUCGAGACGGCCGGCGCGAUCCCGAAGCGCGGAGGCCUGGGCCUCGGCGUCGGCAAACUACAUGCGGAGGACUCGGACGACACGGGGAGGAGGGCGCGGCGGACGAUGCGGGCCGGCGGCGGGGAGGCGGCGGAUCUAGAGGGGGUGCGAGAUGCGGUCGCUUGACUCGGGGGUGGUUUUUUUUGUCAAGCAUGUCCACGCGAGGUAAACCCGGAGUCAAUCCGUGUUUUCAUGAUCACAUGAUAAAUAGUACCACCUCGGAUGUAGAAAAUAUAAUAUAGGUAAAAAAACUGAAAGCGUAAAUUUACAGGAAAAAGCGUAUUGUGACGGUGAACCUGACAAAGUCAAUCCGUGCUUUAUUAUUAGGGAUAGAUAGUUGUUCUUUGAUAGGUUGUAUUUCCUUGUUGCAAUACAUGCUUAAUUCUCCUCAUGCUUAUAAUCAAAAUAAGGCUUUUACGAAGCAUAUUGUUGAUGCUAUGAUGAAAUCUUUUGAAGAAAAACUUGAGUUGGAAGUUUCAAUCCCUAGAAAGCUUUAUUAUGAUUACCUACUAUUAAAAUCAAGAUUAAAGAUUAUGAGUGUAAUGCUUUCUAUUAUUUGUGUGCUAGCAUUCAACAAUUCCAAAAACUCUAUGUGAUGUGUUAGGUUUCCAUAAACUUGAUGAUUGUUCUUUAAAUUUGCAUCUUGCGGAUUCCACUAUUAAAAAACCUAUGGGAAUGAUUAAUCAUGUUAUUAUUUUUGAAAAUAGGAAUUAUGUGCCUGUAGAUUUUAUUGUUCUUGAUAUAGAUUGCAAUCCAACAUGCCCUAUUAUUCUUGGUAGACCUUUCCUUAGAACGAUUGGUGCAAUUAUUGAUAUGAAAGAAGGAAACAUUAGAUUUCAAUUUCCAUUAAGGAAGGGCAUGGAACACUUUCCAAGAAAGAAAAUUAAGUUACCAUAUGAAUCUAUUAUGAGGGCUAAUUAUGGGAUGAAUACCAAUACCUAGAUCGUUGCUUUAUGCCUAGCUAGGGGCGUUAAACAAUAUCACUUGUUGGGAGGCAACCCAAUUUUAUUUUGGUUUUUACUUUUUUGUUCAUGUUUUUGAAUAUAUAUAUAUAUAUAUAUAUAUAUAUAUAUAUAUUAGUGGGUUAGAGAAGUUUUUAUGAUUUUUAUUAGUGUUUGUGCCAAGUAAGACCUUUGGGAUGAUUUGGAAGAUAGUAGAUUGGUUUUGUUGAAAAAUAGAAACUUUUGCGCCUAGUGCCAGAAUUCUUUGUGAUUACUAGAAUGUGAUACAUUCUUGAAUUUUUACACAAUUCUGAUAUACAAAUUUCCCACGUUGUCCUAAUUUUUCAGAAUUUUUAGAAAUAUAGAGGUUUUCGCUUUAAUUCGCAUCUUUACAGACUGUCCUGUUUUAGUUAAAUUAUGUUUUCUUGUGUUGUUUGCUUAUUUUGAUGAAUCUAUGGGUAGUAUCGGGGGGGAUGAACCAUGGAAAAGUUGGAAUACAGUAGAUAUAACACAAAUAUAAAAUAAGAAUGAGUUCACAACAGUACCUAAAAGUAAGGUUUGGAUUUGUUUUACUAACGAAUCUCACGAGUUUUCUGUUGAGUUUUGUGUUGUGAAGUUUUCAAGUUUUGGGUAAAGAUUUGAUGGACUAUGGAAUAAGGAGUGGAAAGAGCCUAAGAUUGGGGAUGCUCAAGGAACCCCAAGGUAAUAUUCAAGUACAACCAAGCAUCUAAGCUUGGGGAUGCCUCGGAUGGCAUCCCCUCUAUUGUCUUCAAUCCAUCGGUAAAUGUACUUGAGGCUAUAUUUUUAUUCACCACAUGAUAUGUGUUUUGCGUGGAGCGUCUUGUAUGAUUUGAGUCUUUGCUUUUUAGUUUGCCAGAAUCAUCCUUGCUGAAUACACCUUUUUGAGAGGGACACACAUUAAUCGUGAAUUUAUUAGAAUACUCUAUGUGCUUCACUUAUAUCUUUUGAUCUAGGUAGUUGCUCUAGUGCUUCACUUAUAUAUUUUUGAGCACGACGGUGAUGUUAUUUUGAAGAAAUUAUUGAACUCUCAUGAUUCACUUAUAUUAUUUGACAGUCUCUCUAAAUAGCAUGGUAAUUUUAUUGGGUUAUUAAUUUAGUCCUAAUAUGAUGGGCAUCCAAGGGGGAUAUAAUAAAAACUUUCAUAAAGAGCAUUGAAUAUAUGAGAAAUUUGAUUCCUUGCAAUUGUUUUGAGAUAUGAAGAUGGUGAUAUUAGAGUCAAGUUAGUAGUAAAUUGUGUAAUUAAAAAAAUAUUUGUGUUAAGGUUUGUGAUUCCCGUAGCAUGCACAUAUGGUCUUCUAGUUAUGUGAUGAAGUUGGAGCGCAAUUUAUUCUUGAUCGUCUUCCUUUGUGUGAAAGUCGGGAGCGCAUGAUGGUUAACUCCUACCAACCUCUCCCGUAGGAGUAUGCGUAGUAGUACUUUGCUUCAAGGGCUAAUAAACUUUUUGCAAUAAGUAUGUGAGUUCUUUAUGACUAAUGUUGAGUCCAUGGAUUAUAUGCACUCUCACCCUUCCACCUUUGCUAGCCACUCUAGUACCACGCAACUUUCGUCGGUGUAUCAAACCUACCUUAUACCCUUCCUCAAAAUAGCCACCAUACCUACCUAUUAUGGCAUUUUCAUACCCAUUCCGAGAUAUAAUGCCAUGUAACACCAUCAUCAUCAUCAUAUACAUGACUUGAGCAUUCAUUGCCAUAUUGCUUUGCAUGAUCAUAAGAUAGCUAGCACGAUAUUUUCAUGGCUUGUCCUUUUUUUUGCUAUGCUAGAUCAUUCCACAUCCUGGUAGAGUUAUCAUGUAUUAGUUUUAUCGAGUUGUAAGUAAAUAAAAGUGUGAUGAUCAUCAUUAUUAGAACAUUGUCCCAUGUGAGGUUAUAAAAAAUAGAGAGAGGCCAAAGGAGUCUCCCAAAACAGAAGGAAAAAAUAAAUAAGAAAAAAUGAGAAAAAUGAGAGAAAAAGAGAGAAGGUGAAAUGUUACUAUCCUUUUCCACACUUGUGCUUCAAAGUAACACCAUGUUCUUCAUGAUAGAGAGUCUCCUAUUUUGACAAUUUCAUAUAUUUCUAGUGGGAAUUUUUCGUUAUAGAACUUGGCUUGUAUAUUCCAACAAUGAGCUUCCUCAAAUUGCCCUAGAUCUUCAUGAGCAAGCAAGUUGGAUGCACACUCACUUAGUUUUCUUUCGAGCUUUCAUACACUUAUAGCUCUAGUGCAUCCGUUACAUGGCGAUCCCUACUCGCUCACACUGAUAUCAAUUGAUGGACAUCUCCAUAGUUCAUUAAUUUUCCUAGUUGACGUGAGACUUUCUCCCUUCUUUUGUCUACUACCACCUUCUAUUCCACCUAUAGUGCUAUGUCCAUGGCUCACGCUCAUGUAUUGCAUGAAGAGUUGAAAAAGCUGAAGCGCGAAGUAUGAAACAAUUGCUUGACUGACACCGGGGUGGUACAUGAUUUAUACCUUGUGUUAAGAAGAGGGAGCAUAACAAGACUAUAUGAUUUUGUAGGGAUAACUUUCUUUAGCCAUGUUAUUUUUGAAGUUUCAUGAUUUUGCUUUCUAGUAUGCUUGAAGUAUUAUUGUUUUUAUGUCAAUGAACUUUUUUUGAAUCAUAUGGAUCUGAAAAUUCUUGCCAAGAUAAGAAGAAAUACAUUGCUAAAUAUGUUAGUAGCAUUCCACAUCAAAAAUUCUGUUUUUAUCAUUUACCUACACGAGGAUGAGCAGGAAUUAAGUUUCGGGAUGCUUCAUACGUCUCCAACGUAUCUAUAAUUUUUUAUUGUUCCAUGCUAUUAUAUUAUCAACUUUGGAUGUUUUAUAUGCAUUAAUAUGCUAUUUUAUAUUAUUUUUUGGACUAACUUAUUAACCCAGUGCCCAGUGCCAGUUUCUGUUUUUUCCUUGUUUUUGGCUUUCAAAGAAAAGGAAUAUCAAACGGAGUCCAAACGAAAUAAAACUUUAUGAUGAGUUUUCUUGGACCAGACGACACCUACAAGACUUGGAGAGGGGGUCAGAAGAGCCACGAGGAGGCGACAAGCCAUAGGGGCGCGCCCUAGGGGGGGCCCGUGGGCUUGUGGGCCCAUCGAGACUCCCCUAAACCGCCUCUAAGUCAUAUAAAUCCUCAAAUAUUCCAGAAACCCUAGAGGCAUCGCCAAAAAUAAUUUUCCAGCAUCGCAUGUCUCUGACCUCGUGAGAUCCCAUCUUGGGGCCUUUUUCGGUACUCCGCCGGAGGGGGAUUCGAUCAUGGAGUGCUUCUACAUCAACCUUGUUGCCACUCCGAUGAGGUGUGAGUAGUUUACCUUAGACCUACGGGUCCAUAGCUAGUUGCUAGAUGGCUUCUUCUCUCUCUUUGAUCUUCAAUACAAUGUUCUCCUCGAUGUUCUUGGAGAUCUAUUCGAUGUUGUCUUCUUUUGUUGUGUGUUUGUUGAGAUCCGAUGAAUUGUGGAUUUAUGAUUAGAUUAUCUAUGAAUAUUAUUUGAGUCUUCUUUGAAUUCUUAUAUGCAUGAUUUGAUAGCUUUGUAUUUCUCUUCGAUCUAUCGAUUUGGUUUGGCCAACUAGAUUGGCUUUUCUUGCAAUGGGAGAGGUGCUUUGUGAUGGGUUCGAUCUUGCGGUGUCUCAGCCAGUGACAAAAGGGGUAGCAAGGCACGUAUUGUAUUGUUGCCAUUAAGGAUAAAAAGAUGGGGUUUAUAUCAUAUUGCAUGAGUUUAUCCCUAUACAUCAUGUCAUCUUGCUUAAGGCGUUACUCUAUUUUUAUAAAUCAAUACUCUAGAUGCAUGCUAGAUAGCGGUCGAUGAGUGGAGUAAUAGUAGUAGAUGCAGGCAGGAGUCGGUCUACUUGUCACCGACGUGAUGCCUAUAUUCAUGAUCAUUGCCUUGGAUGUCGUCAUAACUUUGCGCUUUUCUGUCAGUUACUCAACAGUAAUUUGUUCACCCACCGUAUGCUUUCUUCGAGAGAGAAGCCUAUAAUGAAACCUAUGGCCCCCGGGGUCUAUUUUCCAUUAUAUUUAUUCAGAUCUAUAAAAUCAAAAACACAAAAAUACCUCGCUGAGUUUUAUUUACUUUUAUUUGUUUUAUAUCUCUCUGUUAGAUCUCACUAUUGCAAGUGACCGUGAAGAGAUUGACAACCCCUUUUUCGCGUUGUGUGCAAGUGUUUGUUAGUUUGUGCACGUGCAUAGAUUGAAGACUUUCUUGUGCCUCCUACUGGAUUGAUACCUUGGUUCUUAACUAAGGGAAAUACUUAUCUACUACUUGCCACAUCACCCUUUCCUCUUUAAGGGAAAAAUCAACGUAAGCUCAAGAAGUAGCAGCGCCCCCCAGGGCCCGCCCCUACGGCUUGUCGUCUCCUCUUGGGUCCCUUGGCCCCCACUCCAAGUCUCAUAGGUGUCUUCUGGUCCAAGAAAAAUCAUAGUUAAAUUUUAUUCCAUUCGGACUCCGUUUGAUAUCCCUUUUCUGCGAAAGCCAAAAACAAGGGAAAAAACAGAAACAAGAACUAGGAACUAGUUAAUAGGUUAGUCCAAAAAAUGAUAUAAAAUAGCAUAUUAAUGCAUAUUAACAUCCAAGGUUGAUAAUAUAAUAGCAUGGAGAAAUCAAAAAUUCUAGAUACGUUGGAGACGUAUCAGGCACCUCCGCGUUCAAGACACGUACGGCUUGGUGACGCCUUCACCUCCACGAUCCAACGAGCAAGGAUGAAGAAGUAGCUCGAGUUCCCGGCAGCACGGCGGCGUGGUGGCUGUGAUGGUGGAGUGAUGCGCUUGAAGCUACGUCGGUAUUUCCCCAAAGAGGAAGGGAUGAUGCAGCACAGCGGCGGUAGGUAUUUCCCUCAGUUAUGAGACCAAGGUCAUCGAACCAAUAGGAGAACCAAGCAACACAACGUAAACAACACUUGCACACAAAUAACAAAUACUCGCAACCCGACGUGUAAAAGGGGUUGUCAAUUCCUUUCGGGUACGGCGCCUGACGAUAGGCAAAACGGACGUGAGAGAGUUGUAAUAUUGAUAGAUUGAACGCCAAAUAAAAUAAAUUGCAGCAAGGUAUUUUUGUAUUUUUGGUUUAAUAGAUCUGAAUAAAAAGAGCAAAUAAAAUAGAUUGCAAAGGCAAAUAAUAUGAGAAAGAGACCUGGGGGCCGUAGGUUUCACUAGUGGCUUCUCUCGAGAAAAUAGCAAACGGUGGGAAAACAAUUACUGUUGGGCAAUUGAUAGAACUUCAAAUAAUCAUGACGAUAUCUAGGCAAUGAACAUUAUAUAUGCACCACGUCCAAGAUAAGUAGGCCGACUCCUGCCUGCAUCUACUACUAUUACUCCACACAUGGACUGCUAUCCAGCACGCAUCUAGUGUAUUAAGUUCAUGGAAAAACGGAGUAAUGCAAUAAGAACGAUGACAUGAUGUAGACAAGAUCUAUCUAUGUAGAGAUAGACCCCAUCGUUUUAUCCGUAGUAGCAAUGAUACAUACGUGUCAGUUCCCCUUCUGUCACUGCGAUCAAGCACCAUAAUAUCGAACCCACUACAAAGCACCUCUUCCCAUUGCAAGACAAAUAGAUCAAGUUGGCCAAACAAAACCCAAAUAUCUAAGAAUAAAUAUGAGGCUAUAAGCAAUCAUGCAUAUAAGAGAUCAAAGAAACUCAAAUACCUUUCAUGGAUAUAAAAAGAUAGAUCGGAUCAUAAACUCAAAGUUCAUCGGAUCCCAACAAACACACUGCAAAAGAGUUACAUCAUAUAAUCAAACGACAGAGAGGAAGCCAUCUAGCUAAUAACUACGGACCCGAAGGUCUACAAAGAACUACUCACGCAUCAUCGGAGAGGCACCAAUAGAAGUGGUGAACCCCUCCGUGACGGUGUCUAGAUUGGAUCUGGUGUUUUUUGGACUCUGCGGCGGCUGGAAUUGAUUUUUGUUGACUCCCCUAGGGUUUCUAGAAUAUUGGGGUAUUUAUAGAGCAAAGAGGCGGUCCGGGGGCACCCGAGGUGGGCACAACCCACCAGGGCGCGCCUGGGCCUCCUGGCGCGCCCCGGUGGGUUGUGCUCCCCUCGGAGCACCCCCUAGGUGCUGCCUUGACCCAUUUGGUGUCUUCUGGUCCAUAAAAAACCUACGUAAAGUUUUGUUGCAUUUGUCCGUUUGGUAUUGAUUUCCUGCGAUGUAGAAAACAUGCAGAAAACAGCAACUGGCACUUGGCACUAUGUCAAUAGGUUAGUACCAAAAAAUGAUAUAAAAUGACUAUAAAAUGAUUAUAAAACAUCCAAGAUUGAUAAUAUAACAGCAUGGAACAAUCAAAAAUUAUAGAUACGUUGGAGACGUAUCAGCAUCCCCAAGCUUAACUCCUACUCGUCCUCGAGUAGGUAAGUGAUAAAAAUAGAAUUUUUUAUGUGGAAUACUGCCUAACAUGUCAUACAUAUUAUUUCUUUAUAGCAUGGACAUUUGGACUUCUAUAUGGUUCAAAUAAAUAGUCUAGUUUUGAAAAGAUAACCUAAAUACUCAAGCAUAUCAACAAGCAACCAUGUCUUUCAAAAUAUCAACACUACAUUAAGUUAUCCCUAGCCCAUCAUGCUCAAUCAUUGAUCCAUUCAUGAAACACACUCGAAUAUUAGCUACACCCAAUACCCACUCACGAUCACAGUGCCCCUUAGUUGGUGCUUUAUAAGAGAAUAUGGAGACUCAAAUUCAAAAAUAAAAAUUGCAUAAAGUAAAAGAAAGGUCCUUCGCAGAGGGAAGUAGGGAUUUGUAGAGGUGCCAGAGCUCAAAGUGAAAAACUUAGAGAUAAAAACAUUUUGGGAGGUGUGACUUUCCCACCAACGAAAAUGACGUAGAGCUCCCAACAUUUUCCAUGCUAGAUACAUCAUAGGCGGUUCCCAAACAGAAAAUAAAGUUUAUUCCUUUUUCCACCAUACUUUCACUUUCCAUGGCUAACCGUAUCCACGGGUGCCCUCCAUACCAGCACUUUCCAAGGAAUUUAUUAUUUGACAACGUAAAGUAAAUUCAUUUUUCAUUUCGGGACUAGGCAUCCCUAAUACCUUUGCCGUACUCUCGUGCAAUGACGAGUGAAUAAACACUCAUCGUGAGAAUAACACAUCUAGCAUGGAAAAUAUCGGCCACCCCUCACCGCUCCGCGAGCGGUACGAACACACAAAAGAGAAGUUUAUUUUGAAAAUUAGAGAUGGCACAUAAAAAUUGGCUUAUAACGACACGGAAAUACGGCAUAUAGGUAGGUAUAGUGGACUCAUGUGGUAAAACUGGUUUAAAGGUUUUUGGAUGCACAAGUAAAGAUCAUACUUAGUGCAAAAUGAAGGCUAGCAAAAGAUUGAGAAGCGACCAACCAAGAAACGAAUAAUCUCGUAAGCAAGCAUUAAGCAUAAGUAACACAGAAUAAUGCAGCACAAGUAGGAUAUAAUUUCAUUGCAUAAUUAUUGACUUUCGUUCUUGCAUAGGGAAUCACAAACCUUAACACCAACAUUCUUACUAAAGCAUAAUUACUCAUCAACAUGACUCACAUAUCACAUCAUCAUAUCUCAAAACUAUUACAAGGAAUCAAGUUUAUUUUGUCCAAUGAUCUUCAUGAAAUUUUUAUUAUAUCCUUCUUGGAUAUCUAUCACUUUGGAACUAAUUUUCAUGUGUUGCUUUUGAUAAGCUCAAACAAAUAUAAGUGAAGAUCAUGAGCAUAAUUUUUCUUUCUCUCAAAAUAAUCUAAGUGAAGCAAGAGAGAAUUUCUUGGAAAUUUUACUAACUCUCAAAUAAAUCUAAGUGAAGGAAGAGAGCAUUUCUUCAAAAAUUAUAAAGCACACCGUGCUCAAAAAGAUAUAAGUGAAGUACUAGAGCAAAUCCAUAGCUCAUAAAGAUAUAAGUGAAGUAUUAGAGCAAAUCCAUAGCUCAUAAAAUUUAAGCGAAGCAUAUAGAGCAAUUCUAACAAGUCAUGGCAUAAUUCUGGCUCUCUCUCUCAAAUAGGUGUGUCUAGUAAGGAUUCAAGACUUAAAACACACAAUAAAACAAGCAAAGACUCACAUCAUACAAGACGCUCCAAGCAAAAAUCAUAGUAUGUGACGAAUAAAAAUAUAGCUUCGAGUAAAAUACCGAUAGUCGUUAGAAGAAAGAGGGGAUGCCACUCGGGGCAUCCCCAAGAUUAGUUGCUUGCUCUCUUUUGUACAAUAGCUUGGGAUGCCGGGGCAUCGCCAAGCUUAGGCUCUUGUUACUCCUUAUUCCUUCAUCCAUCGUAAGAUAACCCAAAACUUGAAAACUUCAAUCACAUAAAACUCAACAAAACCUUCGUGAGAUCCGUUAGUAUAAGAAAGCAAAUCACUACUAUAAGUGAUGUAUCAAACCAAUUAAUAUUUUAUUCUUGCAUUAUAUCUACUGUAUUCCAACUUUUCUAUGGCAAAAACUCAUCAAAGAAAACCAUAGAGCCAUAAAAACAAGCACACAACGCAAAGAAAACAGAAUCUGUCAAAAAACAGAACCAUCUGUAGCAAUCUGAAUAUUUCGAAUACUUCUAUAACUCCAAAAAUUCUAAAAAGUUAGGACGACCUGAGCAAUUUGUAUAUUAAUAUUCUUCAAAUAGAAUCAACUCAAAAGAACUCUUCUGAUAAAAAUGAAAAAAUAAUUUCGUGAGCGCAAAAGUUUUUGUUUUUCAGCAAGAUCAAAUCUAAUAUCACCCAACGUAAUCCUAAAGGCUUUACUUGGCACAAACACUAAUUGAAACACAAUCAGUAGCAUAAUUGUGCUAACACUCAAUAACAGAAAUAAAAAAGCAAAAGUAAAUUUUAUUCAUUGGGUUGCCUCCCAACAAGCGUUAUUGUUUCACGCCCCUAGCUAGGCAUAAAGCAAGGAUCUAAGUUUUGUCAUCUUUGGUUCGAGAUCCAUAAGAUGCCAUCAUGAUUGAUUCAUAUGGAGGCCUAAUUUUUUUCUAGGGAAGUGUUCCAUACCCUUCCUUAAUGGAAAUUGGAAUUUAAUAUUGCCUUCUUUCAUAUCAAUCACGGCACCAAUAGUGCGUGCAAAUCUCAAACACCCUCCCCCACAAGGGGCGGGAUAGAGAUGCCUAUAACCCUUGUACAUGAGAUGUAACUGUGUACCAUACCAUAUAUGAAAAAACAGUAGGAGCCUCUCCUACUGUCUAAUUCCUCAAAAAAAUAGUGUGUAAAAACGGUCUACCAAGAAUAAUUGGACAAGACGGAUUACAAUCAAUAUCAAGAACAAUAAAAUCUAUGGGCACAUAAUUCCUAUUUGCAAGAAUAAGAACAUCAUUAAUUCUUCCCAUAGGCUUUUUAAUAGUGGAAUCCGCCAGGUGCAAACUUAAAGAGCAUUCUUCAAUGUCGGUAAGACCAAGCACAUCACAUAAAGAUUUUGGAAUUGUAGAAACACUAGCACCCAAGUCACAUAAAGCAAAACACUCAUAAUUUUUAAUCUUGACUUUGAUAGUAGGUUCCCACUCAUCAUGUAAUUUUCUAGGAAUUGAAACUUCUAAUUCCAACUUUCUGCAAAAGCUUUCAUCAUAGCAUCAACAAUAUGUUUAGUAAAAGCUUUAUUUUGUUCAUAAGCAUGGGGUGAAUUUAUCAUGGAUUGUAACAAAGAAAUACAAUCAAUCAAAGAGCAACUAUCAUAAUUAAAGUCUUUGUAAUCCAAAAUAGUGGGCACAUCACUAUUUAAAGUCUUGACCUCUUCAAACCCACUUUUAUCAAAUUUUUCGACAAGAUUUUCACCCUGCAAAUUAUCGAGACGCCUUCUAACUAAAGUUGAAUCUUCUCCAGUCCCUUUUUCAUCCAUCUUAAUUUUACUAAACAAGGAAUCAAUAGAAGAAACACCAAUCAUUUUAAGAUCUUCAUCAUUUUUAUGAAAGCAAUCACUAGAAAAUGCCUUUUCUAAAAAUUCUCUUCUAGCUCUAAGCAUAGAGGUUCUUUUCUUACUUUCAUCCAUAGAAAAAUGAAGAUCCUUAAUUGAUUCCUCAACUUUAGGCACAAAAAUUUUCAUCUUGAGAUUUUCCACAUCAUGAGCAAUUCUAUCAAACUUCUAGACAAAUCAUCAAUCUUAUUCUAUUUUUCUUCUAUGGUAGUGUUGAAAACUUUUUGCGCAUUGAUAAAUUCUUUAAUAUUAUUCUCAAGAUCAGAGGUGUUCCUAUUAUUAUUGUAAGAUUGAUUUCCAUAGGAAUUACCAUAAUUAUUAGAGGAAUUACUAGGAAAAGGCCUAGGAUUAAAAUUACCUCUAUAAGCAUUGUUAUUGAAAUUGUUUCGAGAGAUAAAAUUCACAUAUAUGGCAUCACUAUUUUGCUCAAUCAAAGUAGACAAAGGAAUAUCAUUGAAAUCAAUAGGAGCACUUUUACUAGCAACCAAUUUCACAAGAGCAUCAACUCUUUCACUCAAAGAAGAAAUUUCUUCAAUCGAAUUAACUUUUUUACUAGUAGGAGCUCUUUCGGUAUGCCAUUGUGAAUAAUUUGCCAUGAUAUUGUCAAGCAAUUUGGUGGCUUCACCCAAAUUAAUUUCCAUAAAAGUACCACCCGCGGCGGAAUCUAAAAGAUUACGAGAAACAAAAUUCAACCCCACAUGAAAAAUUUGUAUGACCAUCCAAAGAUUUAACCCAUGAGUUGGGCAAUUCCUUAGCAUCAUUUUCACCCUUUCCCAAGAUUGUGCAACAUGCUCAUGUUCAAGUUGCUUGAAAUUCAUGAUCUGGGUUCUAAGGGAUAUAAUUGUUGUGGGCGGAAAAUACUUUGUGAUAAAAGUAUCUUUGCACUUAUUCAAAAAAUCGAUACUAUUGCGAGGCAAAGAAGAAAACUAAAUUUUUGCAGAAUCACGCAAAGAGAAUGGAAAUAAUUUCAUCUUAACCACAUCAUUGUCCACAUAUUUUUUAUUUUGCAUAUCUCAUAAUUCCAUGAAGGUAUUAAGAUGAGACGUGGCAUCCUCAUUAGGAGUACCGGAAAAUUGAUCUUUCAUGACAAGAUUCAGCAAAGCAGUAUUAAUAUCACAAGAUUCCGCACUAGUGGCGGGAGGAGCAAGCGGAGUGCCAAUAAAAUCAUUGUUCUUGGUAUUUGAGAAAUCACACAACUUGGUGUUCUCUUAAGUGAUUGUGACUACACAACAAGAUUGCACUAAAAAAUAGAUCCGGUAAGAAAACGGCGAACGAAAAAGAGGGCGGAUAAAACGGCAAAUUUUUGUGAAGUGGGGGAGAUAAACGAGAGGCAAAUGGCAAAUAAUGUAAAUUGCGAGGAGAUGAGAUUUGUGAUUAGGAACCUAGUUUAUGUUGAAGAUCCUCCCCGGCAACGACGCCAGAAAUUCCUUUUGAUGUGCUUGAAGCUACGUCGGUAUUUCCCCAAAGAGGAAGGGAUGAUGCAGCACAACGGGGGUAGGUAUUUCCCUCAGUUAUGAGACCAAGGUUAUCGAACCAGUAGGAGAACCAAGCAACACAAUGUAAACAUCAACUGCACACAAAUAACAAAUACUCGCAACCUGACGUGUAAAAGGGGUUAUCAAUCCCUUUCGGGUACGACGCCUAAAGAUAGGCAAAACGGACGUGAGAGAGUUGUAAUAUUGAUAGAUCGAACGCCAAAUAAAAUAAAUUGCAGCAAGGUAUUUUUGUAUUUUUGGUUUAAUAGAUCUGAAUAAAAAGAGCAAAUAAAAAAGAUUGCAAAGGCAAAUAAUGUGAGAAAGAGACCCGGGGGCCGUAGGUUUCACUAGUGGCUUCUCUCGAGAAAAUAGCAAACAGUGGGAAAACAACUACUGUUGGGCAAUUGAUAGAACUUCAAAUAAUCAUGAUGAUAUCCAGCCAAUGAUCAUUAUAUAGGCAUCACUUCCAAGAUUAGUAGACCGACUCCUGCCUGCAUCUACUACUAUUACUCUACACAUCGACCGCUAUCCAGCAUGCAUCUAGUGUAUUAAGUUCAAGGAAAAACGGAGUAAUGCAAUAGGAACGAUGGCAUGAUGUAGACAAGAUCUAUCUAUGUAGAGAUAGACCCCAUCGUUUUAUCCUUAGUAGCAACGAUACAUACGUGUCGGUUCCCCUUUUGUCACUAGGAUCAAGCACCGUAAGAUCGAACCCACUACAAAGCACCUCCUCCCAUUGCAAGACAAAUAGAUCAAGUUGGGCAAACAAAAACCAAAUAUCGGAGAAGAAAUACAAGGCUAUAAGCAAUCAUGCAUAUAAGAGAUCAAAGAAACUCAAAUAACUUUCAUGGAUAUAAAAAGAUAGAUCUGAUCAUAAAAUCAAAGUUCAUCGGAUCCCAACAAACACACCGCAAAAAGAGUUACUUCAUAUGGAUCUCCAAGAGACCAUCGUAUUGAGAAUCAAACAAGAGAGAGGAAGCCAUCUAGCUACUAACUAUGGACCUGAAGGUCUACAAAGAGCACCAAUGGAAGUGGUGAACCCCUCUGUGAUGGUGUCUAGAUUGGAUGUGGUGUUUUCUGGACUCCGCGGCGGCUGGAAUUGAUUUUCGUCGACUCCCCUAGGGUUUAUGGAAUAUUGGGGUAUUUAUAGAGCAAAGAGGCGGUCUGGGGGGCACCCGAGGUGGGCACACCCCACCAGGGCGCGCCUGGGCCUCCUGGGUGUCUUCUGGUCCAUAAAAAUUCUCCAUAAAGUUUCGUUGCAUUUGGACUCCGUUUGGUAUUGAUUUCCUGCGAUGUAAAAAACAUGCAGAAAACAGCAACUGGCACUUGGCACUAUGUCAAUAGGUUAGUACCAAAAAAUGAUAUAAAAUGACUAUAAAAUGAUUAUAAAACAUCCAAGAUUGAUAAUAUAACAGCAUGGAACAAUCAAAAAUUAUAGAUACAUUGUAGACGUAUCAUGGAGCAAUCUUAGCAGGGCUUCGCCAAGCACUGACUGAACGUGGAGGAGUAACGGGAGGGAGACGGGGCAAGCAUGGAAGGGUUGCUGCACCCAACGCCUCCCCACAUAGGCGUGGAGGAGGCUAGUGGCUUGCCCUCCAAGUCCCUAGGGUCGCUGGGCAAAGGGGAGGAAGGAAAUCCCUCCUUUCCUUCCCCAUCGAUCGCUAUCCCCCCCUUUUAGGGAUCCAGAUCUUAUGCCUUUGGGCUAUGAUACUAUUCCUUUUAAGGGAGGAUCUUGGUGCGCCUAGACUAGGGUUGUGGGGACUUUCCCAACUACCCACGCUCAUGUGGGUCCCCAUGCGGGUGGGCCCCACUCUGGAACCUUCUAGAACCUUCUCGGUACAAUUCCAAACAAACUCAAACUUUUUUAGGAAUCCCAAUAACAACUUUCUAUAUAUGAAUCUUUACCUCUGGACCAUUCCAGAGCUCCUCGUGAUGUACGGGAUCUCAUCCGGGACUUCGAACAACCUUCUGUCACCAACACAACAACUCAACUAUACUUUGAUCGUCACCAAACGUGAAGUGUGUAGACCCUGCGGGUUCGAGAACUAUGCAGACAUGACUGAGACACCUCUACGUUUAAUAACCAAUAGCGGGACCUGAAUGCCCAUAUUGGCUCCUGCAUAUUCUAGGAAGAUCUUUAUCGGUUGAACCAUGAUGUUAAGGAUUCAGCUAAUCCCGUAUGCAGUUCCCUUUAUCCAUCGGUAUGUUACUUGCCCGAGAUUCGAUCGUCGAUAUCUCCAUACCUAGUUCAAUCUCAUUGCCGGCAAGUCUCUUUACUCGGUCCGUAAUACAAGAUCCUGUGACUAGUCACAUUGCUUGCAAGCCUUUUGUGAUGUUGUAUUACCGAGUGGGCCCUGAGAUACCUCUCCGUCACACGGAGUGACAAAUCCCAGUCUUGAUCCAUGACAACUCAAAAGACACCCUCGGAGAUACUUGUAGAGCAUAUUUAUAGUCACCCACUUAUGUUGCGACAGUUGAUACACACAAGGUACUCCUCCAACGUCAGUGAGUUGCAUGAUCUCAUGGUCAUAGGAACAGAUACUUGACAUGCAGAAAGCGAUACCGAUAAACUUGAUACGAUCAUAUGCUACGCUUAUGGUUUGAUCUUGUCCAUCACAUCAUUCUCCUAAUGAUGUGACCCCGUUAUCAAAUGACAACUCAUGUCUAUGGCUAGGAAACCAUAGCCAUCUUUGAUCAACGAGCUAGUCCGGUAGAGGCUCACUAGGGACAUGUUGUUGUCUAUGUAUCCACACAUGUAUUUGAGUUUCUAAUCAAUACAAUUACAGCAUGGAUAAUAAACGAUUAUCAUGAACAAGGAAAUAUAAUAAUAGCCACUUUUUUAUUGCCUCUAGGGCAUAUUUCCAACACUUCCAUGUCCAUGUCUCCCCCUCUACUUCCUCUACACCUACCUACCUCCUAUACUUCCUCCUUCCAUACUUCCUCUCCUACCACCGCAUAUCCCGGCGAGUCGUUGUUCCAAAGAAGCCAGCUACCCCACUCGCAAGUGUGAGGGUCGUGUACUCCAUCGCCACACUCUUCCACUGAAUGACCCAUCAAUCCACAGAAAUAGCAAAACUCUGGCAGCUUGUCAUAAUGAACAGGAUAAUUCUUGCGUUCUUUCAAAGUGAUUGGAACAAAUUAGACCAGAGGUUUAUUAACAUCCACAUAAACUCUUACCCUCAGAGUGCUCGUCGGGUUGAUUUUGCCUUCAUUAACAAUGACCGAACGGUGGUUCCCCAUCUUGGCUACAACCUUCUCGGCUAGUUCCUUCUUAGCUGUUAAACCGUCCAGCAUACCUUUGAUCCAUGCCCAAAGUGGUAGCUUGUUUAGCUUAUACUUAGCUACAUCAGUAAAACCAUCAUACUCUUGGAUAGUGACAUGAGCAGAAUUACAAAAAUCCAUGGACCACCUUCCAUGAUCCUCUUCCAAUCACCCAGGUAAUGGCACUGUACCAGGAAUAGAUUUGGGCCCUUCACAUUGAACGUUACACCCUGUGUUGAUGCCCAUGCGUUCCUCAUCUGCCUCAAGAGGGCAUCAUGACUGAAGGCCUUCAUUGUAUGAACAUGGAAAAGCCCUAACCAACAGACUCCUUUGAUCAACUCAUCCACUUCCUCGGACAGGUCCAGAUCAUCCUCCUCCUCCCCAUGCAGAUGUAUCCCCGUGAAUUGAUCUUCCAGAUCCGCUUCUGGUCCGUACGAAUCCCAGAACCCCCCUCUCCCAGGUUAACAUCCCUCUCUUCAGAGCCCCUUCUCCCAUCUCCUCCAUUCCACCAGCCGCACCGACCUCGGCCGACCUGCUGCCCUCCCCCUUCCCCGUCUCCCCAUCUUUCUCUUCUCCCGCUACUGCCUCCUUCUCCUUCCUAAUCUCCCCCUCUCAACUGUUUUCUUGUGGUAAGUCAUCCAUGCAAACUGAGAUCCGCAGGCCUGAAGAUAUUGUGAUUCCGACCGCCGAAGAAAUCCGACCGCCGUGAAGUAAUUUCGUGGACUCCGGUCGUAGCCGCCAGAGGGUAGGUGGAACCCUAGAUCGCCUAGGGGUUUCUCAAUAAAUGCAAAUAUGUACUCCUUCCGUUCCUAAAUAUAAGACUUUUUGAGAGAUUUCACUACAAACUACAUACGGAUGUAUAUAGACAUAUUAUUGAGUGUAGAUUCACUCAUUUUGCUACGUAUGUAGUCCAUAGUGGAAUGUCUAAAAAGACCUAUAUUUAGGAACAGAGGGAGUAUUUCCAAAUGUUUUUUUGGUUACAGGCGGGAUUAUCUUUUGUACAACUUAGAAAUUUUUUUCUUCAGAAAAAUCAAUUCAUGGAUUCAUAGUGAAUGCGUACAAGUUUCCACAAAAUUAGUUUUGAAUUUGUUUGAAACUUUAAAAUAGGUUUUUUUAUUUUUUUCAGAAAAAGAGGCACCAAGAUGCCCGAGCACUACAACUUCACGUCCUGGGCUCAGAGCCCAAAGCGGCAAGGACUGUGGGCCGACGUGUGCUGAGAAAGCAACAAGGAUUUCGUGGGAAAGAUUGGGCCAGGGUCCAGGAUGCCAAUUCUGGGACGCGUCGGAUUCCAACGCUGGCUUUAUAUACAAGGUCUCCCUAGGUUCCCCGAUCGAUCGAUCCAGAUCUAGAAGAGGGAAACCACAGGAGAGAAGAAGAAUCAAGCCAGGCGAGCAUAGGAGAGGGAAGCCAUGGAUGUGCGCGAGGGGACGCGGAGGAUGAGGGGUGCUUCCAUCCCUGCUCCGCUCGAGGGUGAUGGCGAGAGCCUGCUGCUGAUGUAUCUGCCUCAGCCGGCGCCGGCGUCGGCGUCGGGGCGAUGAUGCCCACGCCGCUGCCCUCGUUGGAGGACUUCGAAGCUUUAGGAGAAGAUGGCAAGCCAUUGUGGCCGUCCAAGGAAUUCCUCCGGCAGAUGUUGGUGGCCAUCGCCCCGACCGGAUCGAUUCUGCCCACUGUCUAAUUAAUUACUACGAGUAGCUUUCUUUCUACUCGAUCGUACUACGAGUAGCUUUCUUUCUACUCGAUCGUCUGCCCAUAUGUAAUAAAUUGUGACCAUCGAUGAGGGCGACUACUUUAUUUGUAUGCACUGUCUUGUUUUAAUCGAUGAUGGACUGCCUACUGUCUAAUAAAUUGUCGUUUGUUUUGCAAAGCAAAUGUAACGCAUUCAGUAUGAUCCUAAUUCCUUGCUUGUUCCUCUGCAUAUUGAUU